rnacentral:lncRNA from 1 species
ACAGGGACGGGAUACGGACUAAAGAAUCAUAUCCUUAAUUAGAUCAAGCUCUCUGGCCGGAACUUCUAAAUCAUAGGUUGAAAUCGUAACUCAAUCUAAAUACAUGAAUUUCAGGACGUCUUAGUCAGAAGUAGUAGCUCGAGUUCUUACGGCCUUUAGUCCAAAGUAGCUUCAUCAAAACUAUCUUACCCCGGAGCUAUGGAAGUGAAGAGUUCAAAUAUGCUAGAAGCAUAGGGUACGGGGUAACUCCUCUUUCAGGCUACAUGUUUCAAAAGAUGAUUCCCUGCACCCCCUUCGGGGAGAUUGUUAGCUCCCUCUUUCUUCUUUAAGUAUACUUAGACUCAAUUUAGUCUAAUUCUCUAAAGUAAGAUUCACCUUAUCUAGGGCUUGGUCUACCUUAAAAAGCCCAAUAAGUCCUGCUGCGGACAAGCCUGAGCCCUACCUCUAGCGAAAUAUAUAUCAUAUUAUUAUCCAAGAGACCUCUACCUAGCCUUUGCUUUUAGGGAUAAAUCCCCCCAUAACUACUUCCUUUCUGAGGGAAGACGCAUAGAUCGAUACAGGAGUCGAUUUAAUAUAAUAUUGAUUUUCUAAGUCUUUCUACGCCAGCUAACGGUGCCACCGACCCUUAAGACAGAAACUGACCUAUCCAAUAUAUUAACCUACGCGCUGCGAAUGCUAAAAUUGGUUUUGUGUUCCGUUCAUGGGGAUAUAGCAUCGAGAUAGAUUCCAUAAAGGGAAGGGUGAACUGCCUAGUAAAGAGAAAGGGCGGAAGGGGCCCUCGCUAGGAGUUAGAAUUCAAAAAAUAAAGAAGACGGUCACUCUACUAUUAUAUACUACAUUUAGACUUCUUCUAUCAGUCCAUUUAGGCAUGAUGAUAUGGUCUCUUUAGCUGCAAGGAUGGUAGCCCGGGGGAAGCUAGUCUAUCAGAAGGUAGUCUUGAGCAAGUGAGAUUGGUUGAAGUUCAAUAUGCAUCAUCAACUGGAGAAGAAAGAUAGGGUCGAAUAUGAUUAAGACGAAUAUGUCGAGUUAGAGCACGGAUUUCCAUUCUUCUCUUACAGUUCCUCCACCGAACUCUAGUACAGAAGGAAUGGAAUAGCCGUGACGCGGUCUAUCACCAAGCCCGCCUCUCUCUCCUUUCUUGCGGGCCAUUACUCUACAUAACUAGCAUAACUCAUAGACGAGCACGCUAAUGAGGCCCUGAGCCAGAUAGAUGAAGAUGGGAAGGUCAGACUUCUACUGUCUCGAAGUCUCCGAUAGAAAGAAUGAUUGAUUGCAUGAAUGCCGGGCCAUCUACUCGCGAAAUCACUUUGGUCCGAACCCUCUCAGCUCCUUCAUAAAGGAAAUCCAAGUCCCAGUCUCAUUUACUGCAGCAAAGAGAAAAGAAGGGCAACCGGAAAGCGAACAAAAGAAAAGAGAGAAUUCAUUUUAGCCUCUGGCUCAGGAUCAGGUGAGGGCGCUGAAGGGGGUAUUAGCUCUUCGACAGAACCAAGCCUUCCCGCGGUUGAAGAAGAGCUAGGGGAUCGGUCCGAGAUCGAAAGAGCCUUGGAUCAACUUGAAUGGCCAAGAUAAAGAAAAAAGAUCGCUUGGCCGAACAGAUUAGCCCCCUGAUUGAAUCGGAGAAGGCACGCCUAGUUCGAAGGUUGUGGAACCACAACUUGGGUGAACUUCCAUCACCAAGUGAGAUGGUCGAAAUGAUUAUUGACCGCUUCGCCAGCAAAGUUGCCUAUAAUGCCAACAAACCCAAUGUCCCCAGGGUAAAUUUACGGCACUUGAGGGCUUGGUUGACACGAGCACAACAAUCGGCGGAGCGCGAUGGGAAGGGAAAACAUGAGUAUAAAAAAUCAGAUAUCUUCCAUAAUUGAAGGAUAUUUCAAGUAGAAGAGCUGACGUAUUGUUUCACAUUUUGAAUUUCUCUUACACUCUACGUUCCCGAAAUGGAUCCUAUCAAAUAUUUCACAUUUUCUAUGAUUAUCUCUAUUUCAGGUAUUCGGGGAAUCCUCCUUAAUAGAUGAAAUAUUCCUAUUAUGUCAAUGCCAAUUGAAUCAAUGUUAUUAGCGGUGAAUUCAAACUUUUUGGUAUUUUCUGUUUCUUCGGAUGAUAUGAUGGGUCAAUCAUUUGCUUCAUUGGUUCCAACGGUGGCAACUGCGGAAUCUGCUAUUGGGUUAGCUAUUUUCAUUAUUAUUUUCCGAGUCCGAGGGACUAUUGCUGAAGAAUCUAUUAAUAGCAUUCAAGGUUAAAGAUGACUCCUAGAGAGUUACCAAAAUACGAAGUUCUCUUCUCCUUUCUUUCUCUUCUUUCUUUUUGAUACUUGGUUGGCAGGGUCAGGGCCUUUCUCUCUGGGCGAGCGCAUCCGAUUCUAAAGUCCUUUCUUAUUCUUAAACCAGUUCCUGUUCAAUUGCUGAAAGAUAGAGAUCGGGCUUUCUAAAUGAAAUUAAGUUUCACGAAUAUGCAGGCUAGAAAGAUGCUAUUUGCUGCUAUUCUAUCUAUUUGUGCAUCAAGUUCGAAGAAGAUCUCAAUUUAUAAUGAAGAAAUGAUAGUAGCUCUUUGUUUUAUAGGCUUUAUCAUAUUUAGUCGGAAGAGUUUAGGUAAUACUUUCAAAGUGACUCUCUACGGGAGGAUCCAGGCUAUUCAGGAAGAAUCGCAGCAAUUCCCCAAUCCUAACGAAGUAGUUCCUCCAGAAUCCAAUGAACAACAACGAUUACUUAGGAUCAGCUUGCGAAUUUGUGGCACCGCAGUAGAAUCAUUACCAAUGGCACGCUGUGCGCCUAAGGCUUUAAGUCAGCAACACUUCCAAAUGCCACUUCUUUCCGUCGCAUCCGUCUUCAGGACGAUAUAGCCAUAAAGAUGCACGUCUUAGUGGGGAAAAUAUUUUUCCCCCGGUGUAGCUCGAAAGCAGAAAGAGUAGAAUUCAUUCGAGAGAGGUUGGUGGUCUUAAGAAUGGUUCGGGUGGGGAUUCUCUUAAGAAUAAAGAAUUCUAAUAGAAUCUAAUUCAUGUUCAUGUUAACAGAAGAGCGGAUCCAAUACCAAGACGCUUGAGAGAAAGAGCUAGCCUUGUAUAUACGCUAUUUCUGUUUAUGUCAGAGGUGCCCAAAGCUAGAAGCAAGAUUUAUAGUAGAAUAUUCAAAGCUUUUGAGUAAGUAAGAUGGAUGGAUUUGGAAGCAAGUGAAAGAACUAGUUGCAUAGAUAUAGAUAUAGAGAAAGUCCUUUCUCUGAAAAAGGUGAUAUUAGGGUUUUGAGAUCGGAUCUGACGUCGAACAGGUUUUCGACCCGAAAAGCUCCACAGAGCUGUCGUAUGCGGGUACUACGAGGCCCACGACUUUCUUGAUCGCCUCAUUCGGGUUAAGAUGUGGCUAAAGUCUCUCCGAGGGUAGCGUAUAUUACGCUCGAGGUCUCUCGAGCCUCCUGUUGUACCAAUGUCUCCGUUUUAGGGUUUAAGGAAUAAGGUAAUGAAAUUCCGGUAUGGACUUUUGUUGUUGUUACGACAGGCGGAGAGCAGUGCCCUAUUGGUCUAAUUCCUGCUUCCCCUUGGUAUCGGUAAAGGGGCUGGUAAGCGCUUCCCGAAUAGAUUCCUUUCUCUUCCCAGGACACCGAACAAAAGGAACCCUGGCUUCACUUGUCGUAGUAAGACCGCCCCCCCCUCUAUAAGCUUUCCCUAUCGCUCUGAUGAACCUCUUUCCGCCUGUUCUCUAGAGUUCAAGAACAGAUUCUUGCCUAUCCCUUAUUUGUCCAUUAAGUUCGUUUUCCGCUAAAGGCAGCAUUAAAAGCACCUAUAUUGUAAUACGUAAGAGGAAGGACGACUAAGCAACUAUGCUACUAUUGGCACCCCAAACUAAAAACUACAACUGAAAAUCCAACUUUAGGUGGUCAUUGUGAUCAGAAACUCACUCUCUGGAGAAUUUUAUUGACCUUGCAUAUAACAUGGGGAAUCUGGUUAGCACCAAUAUUUAAGAAUAAAAGAACAAAGACUUGACUGGACGGUAUUCACGAGCAGAUGACAAGCAUGAGUGAAGAAGGGUCUUAUGUUACCAUUUAUGGUGGUAAAGAAGAUGUUCUUGUUCUUCCAUUCCCCAAACCCACUUCAGCUUUCAAGAUUGGGUUGGUGUUCCGAUAGGCGAGAGGUGUGAAGCCAGAUCGUACUAAAGACAAUGAAUUUUUUUUGAAAAUGAUAGAUAUCCAAAAAAUAAGUAAAAGUAGAAUGAAAGAUAGUCCUAUAUUGACAAGGACAAGCUUUUUAACGAAGAAAGCUUCGCGCCCAACUGCUUGUAUAUCGAUCGGAAAGAAGCAGCUGCAAAUGCUAUCAGUGGUUCUUCCUUCCUAUUCCAUCUAUCUAUAAGAGUUGCUUGAUUUGCCCCCAUCUUUAAUAGGACUGGACUAAGUUCGGGCAGAUCUCCGUCCCAUUUCCCGGAUGCAUCGCAUUGAGAAUUGACUCGUCGGAUUAACCACUUAGAUAGAGAGUCCCCGUAUUCCAUUUUAUUGGCAACUAAAAUAGAUCUAAACGGAUUGCGCGGUACCACGGACUGAAGAAAUUUCAAAAUGAAUUGAAAAGAAUAUCAAUAUAAGGCCCAGAUGUAACCUGUGUGGAGCAAGCCUACACUGGCCUGCAACUGCUUUCUCAUUGGCUCCAUUAGGGUUCGUAGUCUCAUCCUGAAAAGGUUUUUUCUUUCUCCAGAUAUACUCUCAACUUUCCCUGCUAUCCUAUCAACAGGUCAGUCAAUAUCUGUAGUGGAGGAAGAAGAGUAGUACCCUUUUUUCAGUUAGUCUUAAUAGUUUAAUAAUUCAACUAGUGGUCUUCUUGCCUAAAAAAAGGAGUCAGCCCAACAUGGGCAAUGAUAGACAGACUAAAGAUUUACGCAGUCCUUGUGUGCUUGCUUUGUGCAUCGGCACAGCAGAAUUCGAAGCUGCUCGGCGUACUAGCCCUAUAACGGAGUCAGACCCAACCACACUCUCUUAGGAUAAAGCGGAGCAGGACCGUUGGCCUGAUAUGACUCCCCACCCAAUCGCCCUGGCGUAUGUUUACGAAUCAUCUGCAUCGUAGGCUGCUAUAGCUCUUGCCAACUACCCUGGAAAUGAAAAAGAAACUCUAUCCUCAACCCUUCCAAUCCUUAGUUCAUGGUGGCAACUUCACCCCGUUCAUCAUUUGGUUAUGAGCCCCGCCUAGAGGGAGGCGCUAAGGGAAGGGCGUAGCGUUAAAUCUGCCUCACCUUUCAGAGGUUUGGAACCCUUCUGUUGAGCACCAAUUGGAAAUCCAAUCUGACUUCUAAAACGGAAGUGAGCACAGGUGAGAGGACCCCACUUUCCUGCAUCCCUCUCCCCACGAGUAGAACACCAGAAAUGCACAACAUGUGGGCCUUGUCUAACGAACGAUGACUUUCGAUUCUUCACUUUAAGGAGUAGAUUCGCUGCCCAACCCUACCUAUAUAAAAGAAAAAGAAAUCGAUCACUAGGUCCCGAGCAAUUCUACCUUCUUUCCAUUAUCCAACGCUCAUGCGUCCCCUUUCUCCCACUCUUUUAAAGCUUUCAAUAAAUCCUUCUUAGCUGUGGAAGCAACAACCGGUCUGUUGGAAAGUUCCUGCAUAAGCUGUUGGAAAGUUUCUGGGGACGCGUUGUUCAAGUCGAGUUUCCUUAUUGUCCCUUCCAAGACAUCCCUUCUAACUUCCCUAUUUCCAAAGGAAGAAAGAAAGGUCGAAAGCUCUCUUUCGAGAGCGUCUUUUUUGGGCUCGGCAGCCCCAAUCGCAAGGCUAGAUCCAGAUCCGCCAUAGCCUAUUCAGCAUGAGGAAUGACUGGCGGAGCAUCAGGAUUUCCUUGAUCCAUUCUCAAGAUCUCAGGCCCCCUACCAACUCACUCCCGGUGACAUUACGCACUACCUCAUUUGGGCUGGAAAUAAUAUAACUGUCCAUAAAACAAAUCAUUGUUGUGUUUUCGGUCUCGUUGAAUAAAAUGCAAACGAAAUGACUUAUUAGCCACAGUAUAUCCCCGACACAACCUACAUUCACAAACGAUAGUUGUUUAGAAAUUGAAAAAUAAUUGAGACUCUAAUGUAAUGAUACGUAUUAUGUGAUGUUUUGGGAUUCUUAUAGUUUCUAUUAUAUAAUAAUUGGGAUCAUAGAGAAAAUAAAAUGACAAAACAAAAAGGACAAAGGAAAAAGAAUCGAAUCUCACUCAUAUUCAGGUAAGAUUUACUUAGCUCGCUCCUUGGGCGCGAAGCGGCAUACCAAUAAAAAGAAAUGCGUAAUCGGAUUGGAAUCGAUGGCUUAAGCCUCUUUCUUAAGGGCCUUUAAAGACCGGCCAUUAUCGGACUCUUGUUAUGCUUUUUUUUUCACCGGCCUUGGAUCGAGGAAAGUAGGCUUGACAGGCCCGAGUCUUCAUUUGUAGGACUUUGUGGGAUGGGCCCGUGCAUGUAGGCUUGGGACUUCUUAACGUGCGUCAUUUGACGACUCAGUGCAUGGAUGCCAUGAGUCCAUUGGCAUAGGCUUAGGCCAAUUUUGUAAGUGGGCAGUCUUUGGCAGGUUUGGAGAUUCAAUUAAGGGGAGCAGUCUAAUAAAUCGACUGUUGGUGUCAUCACGCUAUCUUAGAUUAGGGAUGAUAAUUAAAUAUAUCGGAAAGACGCUAGGCAAAAAGGUUAGUAAGAAUAGGAAUUAUUAGAUUUCCUGUAUCAGAGAGAGAAGCUGAGUCGGGAUGAGGGAAUUGUUUCUAUGCUUUUCUCAGAUAAUACGGGUUAAGAGUGAAGCUAUCGCGCCUAAGGCAAAAGGCUCUGUUCGGCUCGAUAGGUGGCAGGCUCAGAACAAGAGGAUAAAGACAAGGGGGAAGUUUAGUUAUUAAGGUAAUGAUAAGAUAAAGAGAGGAAAUAUAUAUAUAUAACUAUUAUUUAGUUAGACUAGUGACCAAUAGCUAGAGAAAGUGAAAGAAGUAGAAUCAAGCCAUUCAUCUGAAAAAAGCUUUUUGCUUUAUUUAAAACUUCUCGAACUAGAAAGAGAAGCCCUUUUCAGCAGGCUUCCAGGUUCGCAACUAUACUUGUCUCUUACUUUCCCAGCGGAAAGCCAGAUAGAACUUUGACUAGAGCAAAAACCCGGAGCUUGACUUUAACUGGAAGAGCAGAGCAUAAAGCGCCUACUUGACGAGCGGGAGAAGUGAAUAAAGACAGAUUUCCACACGGGAGGAAGUUCUGUUAUCUUUAUGAGAAAGGCAGAUACAAAUGUUGAAAAAAGUUUCAUUUAACUAAGCUUUCUUACUUUCAACUUUUAGUACAAGUCUCUCCUCUAUCUAGUAAUCUCGGACGCUGUUGGUGCUUUAUGUUGUCCGUGGGAAGGCAGUGGAAGAGAAAGAAAGUAGCCGCGAUUGCUUGAAAAAAAUUAGUUGAAUCAUCAGGUGGGAAAAAAGGAAAGAGUGUACCUGCACCGCUCGAUGAUAGGAUGAGCAAUCUUCCAGCUUCAGGGGCUUGAUCAGGAUUUGAGGAUGCUCCUUAGCUCUUUUGCUUCUUUCGAAGAUCAUGUCGAAUCGCUCUCAUACUCCUCAUAGGUCAGCACUGGUACCACAGAGGCCGUCACCGCAGAUGAGGGCGGAUUCCAAUUUGCUUCAUUAUCUUUUUCUUUGUCAGAGACUACUACUCGAGACCUACCAUUGUGCGAGUGACUGACGGGGGGAAGCGAUGGCUCAAGGAGGGAAGGUGCAGUGCAGACUUGGUUAAUCACGUAAUCGUUGUGGAGUACUGUAAGUGCACAAACUUAGCCAAGUUAGCGAGUGUGAGAACAAGAAUUCGAGCAUUCACUUUAUCGAAAAAUAGACUGACUCUCUAAAAAAAGAAAAAGCUUCAGAGUUUUCUUAGGAAACUUGCCCGCAGCCAAGAUAGGGAAUUGCUUCCGCAGAAAGGCAAGAAAAUGCGCUCGAGCAGAAGGACUCACGCUCGGUGAUUCAGGAAGACUGAAGAGCAGUCCCAGUUGGCAGCGAUCCCAAUCCUGCCUGGCGCGAGCCAUAAAAGUAGAAAUCCGCGAGGCACUCCCUAUCUCUGCCCUUUCCAUGGGGCACAGGCCUUAGGAACGUAGGAACUUGCUGGCUAUUGAAACUAUCCUAACUUUUUUAACGGGAACUGAGUUGACUUGCUAGGGGUAGGGCUGAGGAUCCAGCAUCCCAACCUGAAUUAGAGGGGAGCUCCAAUUCGAAGCGUGGGCUACUAAUACUAAGGAAGGCCCCUUUCCAUAUCGGGGAGAGUCUGAAAUAGUGUUUUGGAAUUCAUCGAUAUCGGAGUAAAAAUUUUUCAGGUACUCUAACGGAUAGAGCUUUUUCUGCGGCAUAUUGAGAGCCAUAUAGUCUCCCGCCAAUCAAAAAUCCCCUAACAUUAUCAGGUAGGCCCAGGAUCUCUAACUGCGCGAAUCGAAUCAAAGCGUUCUCCAAUAAGGGCAUCAUGAGAUGUAGCGGUAUCUCUCCUCAGUCUAUGGUCUCGAUUGUGGGUGGGAAUAUGAAUGUUACUAUUACUCUUUUUCAGCUUGAGAACCAAUGAAAGCUGUGAAAAGAAAGAAUGGCCUAGAGGGUUUAUAUGGAUAGCAGUGCACUGAGGACGAUGUGGAAUAAAUGAGGAUAUUUAAUGUUUUAUGUUUUCUAAAGUGUCAACAUUCAAUGAAGGCAAAUUAAGGGCUGCCACGUGUCCCGUGAACUGCUAUCGUAACUGGAUCUCCUACCGUCUGUCUAUCUCUUAUCGGGAAAGCAUUUUUUUUAUCCUUUAGUGUAUUAUUUGAAUCCUCUCAAUAUAUCAUGCCCAUCAACAAACCCACUGCAGCUGUACCGGCGAAGUCAACCUAGAAUAUUCAGUAAGGUGUUUUCAAUAUGAGUACACUUGGAAAUUGGCCAGCCCUCAUCCUCUUGGGAUGCAACCUUACCCCCUCGUAACUCGUUCUACCGUACUCCAGACCCCCGCACGUCAGAAGGGUGGACUGACCGCACUGAUUGGAUUGUUUUCCUCGUCUAAGAACCGGAAGCACACAUGCUCUAAUCCUACCAAAUGCCCACUUUCACGCAGAUAUGAGACCAGUAAGAGCGGAUUCAUGACUUUCAACCUGGCCCGGCUCGUACUCACAUUCGCCCUAAUUAAUAUAGAGCCGAUAGUCUGAAUAGGAAAGUAUAUAUUAACUAGCCAUAGGCUAUCCUAAGAACAAUCUCUAUAAUAAGGAAAAUAAGGAGGACCCUCACUUACAGAGGAUUCGAUAAGAGUCUAUUGAUUCUAGUUCACUAUUCUUAACACAGGUAAAUCGGUCUUUCUUUUUAUCAUAUGGUAUUCAUGUGGAAGAACUAGGCUAGAAAAUAAUCCCUCAUUCAUUCAUCAAUUUCAUUGCCUCUUCCCUGUCCUAGGUGUGGACGAAAACCGAGACUUCUCUAAGAUCCGAUUCGAUGGUAUAUCCCUCUUCUAUUGUUCUUAGACGGAUCUCUCACUCUUGAUGAAAAAAAAGACUUCAGCUUUAAAGAUCCGAUCUUGUCUUCACUCACCGAUUCCUUUAAUAAGAGGAAUGCCCAGAAUUCUUGGUACCCUUUUUCUUGCUACUGGUUUAUUCCUGUCCCACUUCUGCUUUCCUCACUCCCCGGCUUGCUUGCGUAGUAAAAAGAAAGAAAGCAUCUAUGGCAGAUGGAAUACGAGAUCUAGGCAAGCCUUUCUUCCUUUGUUAACUUAAAGACUGUAGAAUCCUAGGUUUCGCUUUAUAAUACCAGUCAUUAGUUCCGGCUAUCGCUCCAAAGUGAUAGCGCCAUCGAAAGAUAGAGUGUCAAACAGUCAAGCUUCGAUACCUAAAUUCAUUCAUCUAAAGGAUUUUCCAUUCCCUGAUCCAUGCCUCCUUGCUUUAACUAAGACUUUUUGAAUAGUGGCUUGGCUGGCUUUCGAGUUGGGAAAGAUAGGAGGAGCUUGACCGAUCCAUUAUGAAGGGAAGAAGCACACUGCUUAAUAUAUAAAGCGCAGUGCAGCCACCCCAACUUCCGUCCUAUCCUAAUAACAAACCUGGAUAACAGGUAAGCUCCAAUACAUAGUUCCUUGGUUAGACUGUCAGCGAUAAUGAGAAGAACCUUCUUCAGAUAACCUCCUCGAGGAACUUUUGGCAACACUACCUCAUGGCAAGCUUACUGAGUAUCCACCACAUCCCUUUCCAAAGAUUUAUUCUGAUUGGUUUUUGCCAUGAACUAUGUUGGCAAAGUCAGGAUCAUCUUGCAAUCCACCUUAUCCGGUAAGUUACCUAACAGAACUUGAAACUUUGGCUCAUUUUCUUUAUUCUUUAACUUGGGUCUGACUGCUUGACUCACCAACCUUCAAGUUUUCCUCCAUCAGGUCGUCUUCCGGAACCAAGCCUUCUGAAAGAAAGCUCAUCAGAAAACUCCGUUGACGAGGCCUGUCCCUUCUCCAGCUUUUUGUGGUCUUUCACAGCCUUACCUUCUGCUGGGUACUUUACCAUCAGACCAACAUUCUGUUUCUUCUCUGCUUCAGUCUGUAUUUUCAAUUCCAUUACCUUCUUCCUCAGCAUCCUCCUUUUCUGGGUCCUUGUCAGCUUAGAUGAUUUCUGUUAUGCUGGACUCUCUCCUACAGCCUCCUUCUCAGGUCUCGGUUUCUGUGUGGCAUGAACCAACUGAUCAGUUGGUGGGACAGUAGACGGUGUUUGAAAUAACCAUUAUUUAUUCAAUCGAAAUUUCGCAAGAGAAGAAAGCUUUUAACGUGGGUCGGCAUAUAGCCCACUCCAUUCUAUCUAUGACGCAUCGGAUAAACUGAGAUAAAUCUUGAGUAACGAGAGAGAUUCUCCACACGAACGAACGACCCGCCAAGUUCGAACUGACAUAGGUGAAUCGGACCAACACCUAUCAACCACCAACAAGGAGUCUCUUUUGUUACGCAGUUUGGUUAGCAGGCAGGCCGCCUUCCUACAGUCUGCGGGCCGGUAGGCCCAUACCCUAGGGGGAUCGAGGGCUGCUAUUUGUACUUUUUUUUGGGCGAAUCUCGAUUGAAAGAAUCUCCUUCGGCUCCGCUACAGUCGCCAAAAAAAGACUCUAUUUCUCCUGCUAUCAAGAAUCAGAAAAUGCGGAACUUUUUCUCUUCUUUAAAACGUCCUUAAAUUAAAGGCUUAUAGAAAGCGCUUUAACGAAUGACGUAAGAUGAUGCCCGAAAUAAGUGAACUAACCUGGCAUUCAAUCUCUUUUGUCAGUAGUUUUUGGGGUAUUGCUUACAAAGACGCUUACAAAAACUAGCCGAAAGCCCUAUCUAAGAAAGUGGCUACUAGCUCAAGUGCUGGUGAAAACCUCGCUUUUUAGCGAUAGGAGGGUUUUCCAACUAAGCCGAAGAUAUAAGCCGACGGUCCAGGUACACGAGAAGACUUUAUAAGCCGCUUACUCGAAACUUGUGCUUUCCUAUCCAUACCGCUUUCCUUCAUAGCAGCAAAGGAGAACGCGAUAUUGAUUCAGUCGGAGGUAUACUACUUUUCUGAUCAAAGCACACUAACUUAACUCAAUGAAAGCGACUGGAAGUACUGACUCAGACACACACGUGGGCGUAAAUAAUACGUAACAGUAACCCAAGUAACGAUAAUAAGAAAGACUAGGGUAUAGCUGUUUAAAUCCCCGGUCAAAAUCAUCCAACAUUAAAUUGUAUAAGACCUUAGUGAUUAACCCAGCGUGUGGGAUCCCAACUUCCGUAAUAGAACAAUUAAUUCCAUUUUGGUCAUUGAUAUCUUUAAAAAGGAUGAAACUAACGAUAUUACGUAGCUAUCACGCACCAAGGGUGCCAGCUUUCGCAAAAUUCUUUUAUGACGAAUAGUACCUUGUGAGGGUGCUAGAUUCAAGAUGAAAAUAGUUAUAAUAUUCCCCACUCCACCUAAUUUGGCAAAGAACUCACGGCGAUCUCUGGGAAAACCACACGACUGCUUCUGAAAAAUAGAUGAACGCAUAAAACAACUAUUCAACAUAUGCGUCAGAGCGAUUAAAAGGAGAGCGUCCCUUUCACCGGGAAAAACAACCCAUUUAUGAUCAGGGUCCCCUGGCUGACAUAAAGUUUCAACAUAAAAUAAAUUGCCUCGUCUUUGGGAAUACUUAAUAACUUAAGCGGGGACAAUGCAUACCCUCUCUUCUGAGAUAAGAAUGAUUAUAUCACAUACGCUUAAAGGGGGCAACGAAAAUAGAUCACCAAGUUUAGCAUAGACAUAUAAUAUUGACCGGGCAAGUUGCUGUGCGGAGCAUGAAUAAGGUGGAUUUUUCCGUGGGUCCUCGCCAUCUGAAUCAAUUAUGAACGAAUAGUAUCUCUAUCUGGCUUUGUUAUUAUUACAGUGUUAUCUGCACCUAGCCAGUAAGUAGAGAUAUGGAGAGAGGGGACAACUUUGUCACUGACCUUUCUUUGCUUUCUUUUAUGAACUCCACUGGUCGUCCAUGGAUUAUAGGGGCUUUCCAUUGUAUAUAAAUACACUUUCGUAUCCUACUCUGCAAAUCCCAUUUUCCUUAAGCAUAUAGAAACCUAUGAUUCCAAUUUGCAUAUGCUGCUGCUUUGGUGAGUUUAGUGAUCAUGGCUGGCUCACCUGAUCUAUCAGCUGAGUAGUAAGCCUCCUUGGGAUAAUUAUCAAUAUCUCUUCCUAUCAAAAUGAGAUUAGGAGGGCGCCCUUUUUAAAGAGCCAGCCUGUCUUUCAAUAGAAACUAUUGGCAAUUGCCUUAGUCAUUCUCUUAUAUAGUGUAGUCCCCAUAGCAAUGGGCCUCGGUCUAGUGAGGUUUUGCUUUUUUGGGAAUCAUUGCUAGGAAUAAGGAUUGAAUUGCACCUGGUUUGCUCCUGUUUGACUUCAAUUACCAUAUGGAAAUGGAGAUCGUCCAACAUUAUGUUCCAGCACUGCCCCGAAUUAAUCAACCAAGUAAAAGUUGAAGCUCAGUUGGAAUCCAUAUAGUCUAGUAGUUUUUUACUAAGAAUAGCCCCAUAUUGUUGAUAGAGAGCUUACCGCCCUGCCCUUUAUAGUUGCGAUUGUUGUCAUGGAAAAAGAGUUUGUUUUCUGUCAAAGAAGCAUGCUUAACACAGCCUAUAGCAUAAAGGCAUUCGAGCCGCAUCUAAACUAAAUGGUGGGCAAGGGCCCGUACUCUCUCUUCUGUGGAUACGCUAUCCCUUUCGGCUAUGGUAUGGGAAGGGGAGGUGAGAUCUACUCAUUGAUUUUAUAUUAGAUGAGCGACCAUACUAUGAUCGUUCGGGAGACAUGGGCCCAUGGUGCUACACACAAGAAUGAAUUGUUAUGCGGAUGGUAAACUCUUUCCUUUCUGCGGGCAGCCUAUCAAAUCGGAUCACGUAUUUUGGAAUAUGUCGUUACAUCAUGUACAUGUAUUCGCCUUUCCAUUAUUUUUGAUGUUCCUGCUCGUGCCCGGAUAAAGAAUGGGCACGACUCCCUCUCUCCCCGUUCUACCGUCCACAUAGGCUGGCCGUUCUAAGUUCCGGGGUUGGGUCGGAUAGGACCAGAUCCAAUCGGAUCUGAUCGUAGCUUCAAGUUCAGGUGCUGUACUGCGGCCGGACCGGAAAGGAGGGGGACAGCGAACCUCCUGCCAAGAGGCCAAGGGUUCUUGCUAACUCUCAACCACUUGUUAGAAGGAAGUGCAGCUUGAUUGUCGGGGGAAUUAACGGGAAGGAAAAAAGAAGGUAGAUUAUUCUAUUCUAUUUUCUCCUUUGGUAAGGAUUGGCUUUUUGGUCAAGGGUAUGUUAAAAACCAUCGUGUUUUCUUUGUUUGUAUCACCUAGACACUCGAAGGGCCGGCCAUAUGUACCUCGGGAGCCCCGACCCAUUCAAAUCAAAAUAGAACAAGCACCUACGACUAAGGGGAAUGGAAUGUCGACCACAGGGUGAGAGAAUCUUAUAAUACGAGGGCUAGUGACUGGUCAAGUCAUUAAAGUUAGUCAUUUUGAUCAACAUGGCUGCAAGUGGACUGGGUUUAUGGGGUUAAACUGACUACGACCAAAGUCGUGGCUACUUCAACCAAAAAACGGGCGACCCCCUAUUCAAACCAAAAGAAGUACCUCACCUCACUUACGAAGAAGUUGUUGGAGCUGGGCUCCGAACUAUGAGAGUUUGCUUUUUGUCUUUCUCAUAGCGGUCUGAUCAAAUACGGGAUCAGAUCACUCCUGGUGUUUUAACUAGUCAUUAAUGGUCGGCUUAAUUAGUACCCUUUCGGUAUGUGUUGCGAACACUUUUAUUUUUAGCCUCUCAUCUUCUUUAGAGAAGCAAAACUCGAACGGAUAGAACAGAUGGUCCAACUACAUAACUUUUUCUUUUUCAUUACUUUUGUGGUCGUGCCUCGUGGCACGGCAUCACCCGUACUAUUGAAAUGGUUCGUCAGUAGAGAUGUUCCCACAGGUGCCCUUUUUUCCAAUGGUACUAUAAUUCCUAUUCCUAUCCCUUCAUUCCCUCUUUUGGUCUAUCUACAUUCCAGAAAAUUCAUACGCUCCACGGACGGAGAAAAAAGCCUUGGUCAGAGCAAGCCGCCCUAUUCCAUUACUAGACAUAAUUGGGAGAAGCUCAUCCGAAACUAGAGCUAGAAAUGCUGUAUUUCGUUUCGUUCCCGUUCUUCAUUUCCUUCUUCUUGAAUCCAAGGGGGACUUCUCAUAUUUAGAAUCUUUUUGCGGUGUGCUCCGUUUACUAUUCUUUCGUACUUUCUUCUUUUUACCAUGCGAUAGGUCAGCGAUGCCUGAGCGGGCGCGGAGAAGGAAAGGCUUAACACUUCGGCCUAACGGGAAUGAGCAACAACGAAAUGAGUAGAUGAGGUGCCUCGGGCACCCUUCAUUUAGAAAGAAGGGUCGAAAGGUUUGAGAAUGUAGCUUUCCCCGUCCCCCCUUCGUCGGGCGGUGCUUGUGUGGAGGGUGCGCCACCUGAAAUCGGGCUUGAAGCUCUCACCUUACCAACAAGCUGAGAGCUGAUGGCUGUUGGUCACGACUACUAUAAAAAAGUUCCUAUGAAGAUGAAUAUUUCACAUGGAGGAGUGUUCAUCUUUAUGUUGGGUGAUCUUCUGUCGUGCGACUCGGCGGCUUAUGUGCGACUUCUGGCCCACGCCUCCUAUUUGUUCAGGGCGGGCGGCGUGAACUCUGAUUCGAUCCGGGAAUAAAAUCCAGCCGCUGAGAUGCUCAGUUGACUCCUUAACCUUGAUAGGAACAUGGCUUAUUCAAUAAUUCGUGCAUAAGGGUAAGGAACUUUUGAUGAACUAAUGCAAAUGGGUGUAAGCCUCGCUGCUCGGAAACACCCAGUGCUGACCACACUGAGAGACACAAAAGCGCAGGUAACACCAGUUGGCGAAAUGGCGUUAAGCAUCCCUAGCGGUACGAAAAGAGGGGUCGUGAUGAUAUCAUCUACAUCUGUACCGCUCCUCGUGGAGUAGAUACCGCAUCCAACCAAGUCUUUGACCAGGGAACGGGAGAAUUCCCACUACCGCUGGAAGGCCAGCCGGACCGUGAGCGCGGUGGGAAUGGGCUUACCAAGAAGCCAGCCUGGGUCGGGGUCAGCAUAGAAUGAAGGGGACGGCCCUAAUCUUGUUUUGGAUUUGCCAACUUAUUGGGUUGCGGGGGGAGAAAAGCGGACGUGGGGACUCGGGUCGGGGCGCAACGUAACUAAGAGAGCCAUUCCAUUUAGGGCGAGACAAAAUAGGCGGGCACGGGCGGUCUGGUGUCCCAGCCGAUUGGUCAGACGACGACUACUUCACUUAUUAUUUUAGUAUUAGCCGCCUAUCCCAGAAUGGGAUGGAAUAGAAAGAACGCGAAGCGCUAGCGCUAUAGGGUCGGUUUUUUGGGGGGGAUAGGCUUGUGAAGAAGCAAGAUUAUCCCCGCCCCGACCGGUAGCUGCUAGGUUUCCCCAUCUCUUCUAAACUUCCCCCGGUCUUUGUCCCGAGCUGUAUGAGGUAAAAACUCAUCCCACGUACGGUUCGGAGGCCGAGCCCCACCCCAGCAGUAAGGGUGCGGCUUAGGUCAACUAACACCAAAAAGAUACAGUUCACUCAACGAUUGCCUUAGGGUUCCGAACUCCAUAUGGGGAAGGAGCGUUGUUGUUUGCGAGGUGUUGAUCAUUUACAUGGACCCACUUUUCAUUCCAUUUGUGGGAAUUUUAUGAUCUAUAAACCGUCCCUAACGAGUGAUCGACUCUUGUUUGAGCAUGAUGAAUCAUUUCGUGACGACCUGUUCCCAAUCCACUUUCCGGCCUCAUAUGAGAAUGGAAAAACCUGGAGCAUUUUAUCCAUCGGUGGAUGAAGAAUCGCGAACAUAAUAAUUUCUGGUUGACCAUGUUCCCAAAAAAAAGAUACUUUCGAGAAAGGACGAGCACGACUGAAGUGGCUAUACAUACAAAUCUAUUUACGGAUCUAUAUGCUUCGAUUGGAACUGGAAGUUCCAGAACAGGUGGCUGGUAUACCACAAUAAUCAAACUUCCUUUUCUUGUUUUUAUUCGGAUCAGAUUUAUGUUGGCUUCAUUGGGAGGCUCGCGUAGUUUGUUACGUUAUCUCCAAAAGGAUAAGUUGCGUUGGAAUUGAAAAAGUUCCGUGGAGUUCAUAAUUGCAUAAAAGGAGCCAAAGUAGUGGUUGCGGCGCGUUGAGGCACUUCUUCGACGGUCCCCGUACGCCUGGCCUGCCGGCCCGCUCUGAAGAAUUCAUGAUUUAUAUAUGUUUCACGCCAGUGAGAGGGAGUGGGGAAUAAGGAUUGAUUUCACUGUAUCCAUCGUAGCCCACCCCAUCUACCUAUUGUCGGAGGUAAAUUAUUGCUCCCUCUCUCUCGAGAUUGCAAUCCCUAUCGAGUCAGGAAGGAAUGAGUAAUGGGUCGGGGAAUCGGGCAUCGGCCCUCUUGGAUCCGGUAGGAGCAGGAGUAGGUAAGUUAGUAUCGAUCCGGUGAAGAAAAGAGAAUUUUGUUGAUAGAGACGUUAGAUCUGGAAGAAGCAUCUGGUCACAUAUCCCAAAACCUUCACGGGAAAGGAACGGACUCACUCGCCCUACUUCUAAAGAUAGAUAGAAAAGGUUAGAGAGUCCCAGCUGCUGAGGUGGCGUAGUGAGAGGUGAGAGAAAUAACAACAAAAGCGGCGGAAGAUCCUGCAGUAGUAUAUUCAGUUGUUUGCGGUGGAAUAGAUUCAAGUGUCCGGGCUAGUAGAUCCACAGCAAAUAGGCGUUGACUUAGUUACUUUUGCAUUUUAUUUUUACCCUGAUAUUGAUCCGACGCAACUUACCGGUGAUAGUCGCAGCACCAGGAGCUUUCAAGGGAGGGGGCCAGGAUCUCUAGUUCUGUUCUGGAAUCAAAACAAAAAAUGUAACUAAAUAGGCAGCGAGCCGUUCAGAUGAGACCCGAAGACCAGGAAGAAUAAAUAAGCAAAGGGAGGGGCUUCUUCCUUCAACAGAGGUAAUGCUUAUUCUUCUCCUUCCUGGUACUCUUGAAUAAGGCAAGGCUUUUCCCUAUUCCCUAUCAAAAGCACUUUCAGUAGAAAAAUGAAUUCCUCUAGAUAAGUUCCCUGUCGAGAGGGAAGAAAGGAGAAUUUACUUCGGGGCUUAAGGUAGUUCAGUCACCCUCAGGUCAUAAAAGAGUCUAGUAUGACAUCGGUAGGAAGAUAAUGCAGCUAAGCCGAGACUUGCUUCUGAGGCAUUUCAGACUUUUCUUGCUGUUGCCGAUAUGAUCUUUUCUCUUGUUUCAGAAGUGGAGUUUGCUGCUAUCGUAGAUAAGAGUGACAGAAUUGAUAGAGCGAAAUCUAAUUCCCUAGCUAGGUUUGAAAGGAAAGAGGAACUGCAGCUCGAUUUGAGAUGAAAUCUGGCAAUAGCUCUAGGGCAUCGUACUCAGGGGAUACGCACUCGGCUCGCUCAGGAUUCUGUCUUUAGUCAGUUGGUAACUUUCUGAGCCUUAGUGCGCAUGGUCUUGCUUCUUUUGCGCUCACCAAUGAGCAGUUAAAGUCCCGGAACUUGUUAAUUGACUGGCUGGCUUCCGAAAGGAACCAGAGCUCUUCUAGCCACUAACGGCUCAUAGGUCUCCUCAUCCCGAAAGGGAAAGGGAGCAUAGGGUAGGAUAUGAUCACGUAAGGGACACGAAGGCAUUAAGAAAGCAAUCGUCCCCCCCCCCCUUUGAUACUUAGGUUCGGCUGGCCUUUCACUUGCCCAUGCCAGUACACAUCUCUUCUGGGCGCUAGCCGGUUCGCUUUUCUUUUAGCAAUUUAAGGCAGAACCGGGUGCAUUCACUUAAAGACUACCUUUUCUUUCGACGUAGGCAUUUCGGGCCUUAUUCCUUUCCGAUCGCACUCAAAGUUGUCAUAGAAUGGGAUUAGGAUUUACAUCAAUCAACUAUAGUAUAACCAAUGGUGCCGAUCACCUUUAAAAUGGUUCGAAGUCCCUGACUGAGGUCGUUGCAUUACCUAAAGCCUCCUAGUGAGGAAAGAAAAAUCUGUUCCAGAGAUACCAUGGUAGUAAGGCCAUGAAGGUCUUCACUUGGUCACCACCUCCUUUGCUGCAGGUGAGAAAGGGCCUUUUCAAUUUAUUCGUCCUCGGGGACUCUUUCGUUAACUGCAGCGAUAAUACGUUCUUGUACCCGAUUCUCAGAGGAAUCUCGUCGUCGUCUUACCUUUGGAAUGUCGUCGAUCUCCGCCUCAUUACUGAUCUCCUCGCUAAGCUUUUCUUCUCUCUCUAGGUUCCAUUUCUUUGAUCUUCUCUGCUUUUUUUUAAAUUUCCUUUACCUUGGACCAGCCAUUUAACAGAUUCAAAAGGACCGGAGUCGUUCAAAGCGAAAGAAGUUCCGAUCACAGCUUCUCAAACAAAAUGAAUUAGGGAAAAAAGAGCAUUCGUAGCAUCCAUUCCUUUUCCUUGCUUGCCUCCGUUGAUUAGACCUCCUGAUCCUAGUCCUACUCCUUUUCCUUCAGUCCUAGUGCUAAGAGGGCAUAUUCCUUAUACUUAAGCAUUCAGUUCCCUUUCAACCGGUAAAAGCUUGGUCCCAAAAAAGCAUGAGAGAGUAGACUUAAGAAGAGCAGGGAAUAUGGAAAACAAAGACUCAUUCCGUCUAAUUGCUAAAAUGCCCUUCAACAAGAAGAUUCAAUAGCAUCCUUUCUUCCUAUUCCGGAAAAACUAGCUGCUGACUCAACCUCCCCUCGGGUCUACGCACUCUUUGUCUUUGUUUUUAGCAUCGGCGAUUGAAAGAGAGUAGGAGCCCAUUCUAUUCUAUCUAUCUCAGAAAGAAAGUCUCAACCCUUUGGUACGAAAGUAGGCCCUAGCUUCUCAAUAAGUCAUUCAAUGAACUAACUAUACUUAAGAUGUGAGCUAUACCUAUUCCUUCUUUUCUUAUCUCUUCCCUUUCGGGCCGGAUCGGAUAAAGAAAGGAGCUAAAGAAUGAAAUAUUCAUCAAAGUAGUCCUUACAUCCCUCCGCAAGCAUAAGAAGAGUCCGAUAAUGGCUGGUCUUUAAAGGCCAUUAAGAAAUUACAUAAGUCAAGUUCUUGUGCUAUGUCAAAAGUGAAGUUCUCCCCGCCCUGGAAUCACUUCACUCCCAACCAACAAGCUUCAAACUAGAGGUCGCCAAGCCCAUCAUCUUUCAAUAGUUCUAGACUUCUCACUAUCAGUCUCUAAAGCUCUAUCAUCUUUCAAUAGUUCUAGACUUCACACUAUCAGUCAGUUUUCCCACGUCCGAUAGACUUUCUUUCAUUUUUGUUAUGGAAAGUGAAAGUCGUUUCAUUUAGUACGAGAUCGUUUCACAGCUCGCGGUGUUUACACCUCUCGCCUAUCGAAGUUCUGUUCAAAAACCUCGUCCGAGAACUUGUAUAGAGAAGGAUUUCCCGCGGCGUAGCAGUUCUUCCAUACUAACUUAGCUGCCCGGCGCUGCUAUUGGUAUAACAACCGGUACACCAUAGGUUAGCCCAACCCAGUCCUCUCGUACUACGGUUGGCUCCUCGCAGUUCUCCCUUUAACACCAACGGUAGAUAGGAACCGAACUGUCUCACGAUUUCAAUCUGGUUAGAAAAACUUCUCCUGAGCAAUUCACGUAUCACUUGAGUAGUAGUACGAAACCUUAGGAAAAGGCGAUCUACUAGUUGAAAAAAGGAGGAUCCGUUGAAGAGUUUAUAUUGUCUCGGUAGGGAAUAGUCCAAUCUUUUCCAGCACCGGUGCAAUAUGAAAGAGUCCUUUAGAAUUCCUUAGAAUACGAAUGAGAUAAAAAACGCUCUGCCGAGGCUCGAGUAGAAGAAGGGGUACUUGAACAGAGGGUCGUCUUAGACCAGUGAAGAUCGGAAUGAGCUGCUUAAGAUUCCAAUUCAAGUAAGGAAGAUUGUCAUUACUCUAGGUAUUCUAAAUAGAAAAUACCAUUAGCGACCAAGCUAACCAUCUCGACUGUCGGAAUGAAACCGAUUAAUAUGGAACUGCUAAAGAUGGAAAAAACGCAAGGAACGAAGUUGUGAGAAAGUCCCGUGACAUCCAAGUUUUAAUUUCGAAAUGAAAGAUUGAGGAGCUGCUGAAGAUGGGGAUGUAGAGGGCAGUUUCGGUAAGAGAGAAAAAGUUUGAUUGAUAAGGGCAUUCUGUGAAUGGAGGAAUUGGCACAAAUCUGAUCUGAAGUAAUGUGUUGCCGUGAAUCGGCUGAAAGAGUUUCAAUAGGCCAGGAAACCAUUUCCGCUAAAGAGUUUUCUAUUGCAAUGUAUUUUGGCGGGUCGCUUUCUUUUGAAAAGAGGGGUUUUUUCCAGCUCUUCUCCUCCAUGCUUCAGUUGCCAAGUAUGAUUUGGUAUAGUUUCAAAGUUUUAAGCUGGAGCCUCACGUCACGGAACAAAUGUUUUGUUUUCAAAUCAGCUUCGAAGAAUGGCCGGAAAUCGUCUUCCUAAAAAGAGAGUCCUCGUUUGAAAAAAUCAAGUUUUUAAUUCCUUAGAUAAUCAAAUCAAGUUUCAAGCCGGUCAGGUCAAUCGUUUCAAAGGAAGAAAAUAAAGGCCGAAAUCAAGAUGAAUGCCGACCCGGUAAAUCACCUAACUUUGUAUAGCUGAAAGUUGCCAAAUCGGUUGAUAGAAUUGAAAGGAAUGCUGGAAAAUGAGCUUCACAGCUUGAACUUCCACUUUCAAUAGUCAGAAGAAACGCGGAUGGCACUAGUCCUGAUUGAUUGUUUUGAAGUGAAGGGCUUUUUCCUACUAAUGAGUACAGAUAUGCGGCCUUAGUAUUGUAUUAGAAAAAGAAUUAGCAGGGGUACGUGCGAAGUCUUCAAUGAAUACCGGGGAAUUGGCCAAGUAUUACUUCCCUUCCUCUUAGUUCAAGCUAUUCCUUAGCGAUUGUUCUUCUUCCACUGCCCGAGGCCUCAAGAAAGAAGGCGUUCUUUUGCAUUGCACUUCUUCAUGUCUUGGUUCACCGUCAUUCUGAAUAAGUCAGAUAGUUGAUCGAGAAAGCACCGCCCAAAGGUGCUCAUUGAGCCGGUCCUCGGUGGCUAAAAUCAGCUCAAAGCUGAAGUGAAGAAAAAGGCCAAGUUAUUGCAAAACUGCGGAAUUUCAUUCUAUAAGGUAGGGCUUUAGUUUUUCACUAGAAGCUUAGCCUAGAGUUGAUCGACAGGUUAACCCCGAAAUGAGUUGAUCGAUAGGUUAACCCCGAAAUGAGUUGAUCGACCGGUUACCCCCCGUAGACCCCUAAGCUCGGGGGAAGCGGAAACUAUUGUAUCUUUUCUAAAACGGCACUCUCCCUUGAUUUCCACAAUAAUGUUUGCUUAUGAAACCUUUUGUCACAUGGUUCUAGUCUCUUUUCCAUUGCUUUACAAAGGGGAACAAAAAGAAAAGCCCUAGGAUGAGUCAUCGAAUUUCUUAGCCUAGAGAAAAGCUAUCAGAAAGCAAACCAAUGAGAUAAUGAUGACUAGCCUUUGAUUGAAGGCCGGGUCGGUAUAAAGGAUAGGCUAGUCCAGCUAGAUUCUAUAAAGCUAAAAGGCUAGUUUACCCGCAUUGGCAUUUGUAAGAAAAGAAAGACUUUGAAAGAAUGCUUGUCUAACCCCUUAGAAGAGUAAGGGUCGUAGGGAUAGGACUAGUAAAGUAAAGCCUUACCUUAGUCUUGCAAGUCUUUUCGUGUGCAUGUCUGCUUUCUUGUUCUUAGAUGCUACAUAACGGCUCUUUAACGCAUUCCCUAGCUGAAUAACUUAUCUUAGUCCGCCUUUUAGGUUCUUGCGCCUUAUCCGCCUCAUUAAGGAAAUUACCAGUCAAUGUUAGUUGGAAUGUGAUCUUUGCCUUUUUAUCCACAUACUAAAGGCCCCUCUCUUUUUCCUUGUCGCCUUAGCACAGACAGGAAAAUCGGCAUUUCGAAAACAACUAAUAGAAGAAAGUUCCCAGAAUAUUUAGGAAGGAUGAAAGCCUUUAUCUUUGGGGACCUGUGUGUGCUACAGUAAUGUAUGGCGCUCACUCUGGAAAGGCUGAAGCCUGUCUCCUUCUAUAGUUCAUCUCUAAGGCUUCAUUCAGAAAUGAAAGGGCCGCCAGGGCUAAGCCCUGAUUAACUGAAAGUGAAAGGUAUUCCAGAGCCUCUCUUUCCUUGUAUAUCUUCGUAACCCAUCAUCUGGUCUUCGAUGGCCCUUAGCUUCAACUAGUUCAGUUUGACUAUUUCUCAGGAGUAGUUGCAUUGCUAGUAGGCAGAAAAGAAGUAGUGCCUUAGCUUAUCUGUUCAUUUUCAAACAACCCCUGUUUGCGCUCCUUUAUCUUUCUAAGCUGCUCUCGCUAGCAGGGAAUCUAGUUCAGCAAGGUCCAUGUGGAAAGACCUUGCUAAUGCCUUUUUUGACACUAGACAUAGGCUGCUAGGAAGGAAGACUCUGAAGAUGACAUAAAAAAGAGCUGAGUUGGCAGCUCUGGAAGCACUGAUAGCCUUUCACUCAUUGCAGAAUAGUUGGUUUUAUUACCUAGUCACUUAAAUACCAAGUAAUCUCAGGCAUAAAGGGUACUAUUUGUAGUGGGUUCUCAUGGGGAGGAAUAUCCCUCAACUCUUUAACUAUCUUGAACACUUGUAACGGCAUCCGUGCUUUUCAAAGGCAGUAUAGUAUCCUGACUCGAGCUCGGACAACUCGGUAAACUGAACCCGCUCUUGGGAGGGGAACAACAGCUGGAAACGGCUGCUAAUACCCAAGUGUUGGAGCAACAACCGGCCAAGUCAAUUUCAGAAAAAUGAGAAACUGAUUCGACUGGACGCUCCUCUUGCCCUUUUCGUUGCGUGCUCUAUUACUGCUUUCUCAGAUAGAUGCUGGUGUGGCUGCUUCAGUCCUUAUUUUUCGUUGUGUGCUCUAUUACUGCUUUCUCAGAUAGAUGUUAGUGUGGCUGCUUCAGUCCUUGCUACCUUUCCCGUCUCCUCUCUAGCCAUCUUUACAUCUGCUAGAAUCAGGUCAUCGACCCAAUUCAAACAUUUAUGGUGGUGGACAUACUCGAUUGGAAUGGGAAGAACUAUUCAUCCAACGAGUUGGCAUACCUCUCAGCAGUCCCCUAAAACCGGUACUAAUGAAUAUAAAGUUCUCCAAUUUUCAUGGGUCGGAGGGGUUUAGUUUCAAAAAAGGAAGUCUUUCGGGAAGAGGGACUAAGAAUGAGAUCAAUUGCUUCCUCCUGCUACAACAGGGAUUUCCACUCUUUUGUCCGAUUAGAAAAACGAGGUUUUUUUUCUCCCAUUCCCCCAAACCCACAACAUUCUCCUUAUAGGAUACCUAGAAAAAUGUACCCAGAAUAGCCUUGAUUCAUAAGCUAUGGCAUGCACGUAGAACCAUACCUAGACCUAACGACCUAGAUAUUUUAUAAAGAGCUAUUUCUAUUGAGUUACCAAGCCUACCGAGAUCUAUUUCAGUAUUCUAAAGACUAUCGGGGCUCACCUUCUAUAGGCUCUUCGGGACAUCAGGCGAGAAAUAACUACUCCAAUCAGCCCAUCCACACCUAUUAUGAUGAUAUAGAACCCGGGACUUUCAAAGACAAGAAUCACCUCUUGCAUUCCUUUCAUUCGCUCAUGCUCCCAUCUCUAAAUAUCCCUGCUGCUACGUUCAUUUGGUCGAGCAAGGUCUUCCCUUGUCUUCUAUGUAUGGCUAGCUCUUCUUGAUCUUGAGGUCAUGGGCUAACUCGACCGUAGGGAAAGGGGUUCAAGAUGCCCUCGUCUAAGUUUGUCUAUUUAUUUCUUUGCUUUAGGAGCUCGUAGGUCUCAAGGGUUGUUUUCCAACUCGACCGGAGGACUCUGUUGAGAUGUCAACUGCUAAGGAAACGUCUUCCGGAUCGAUCGAAGAGGGAGGUGAAAAGAUUUGAGUAUAUCAUAGCUGACCGCAGGUUUGAUAAUAUUCGCUCGCAACGAAGAGGCUCUUUUCCACAAAGGCAAACUCACUCUUGCAUUCAAGAUCUUCACACCAGUUCAUUUUCUGAUUGAUUAGAAAGACCAAUCCCGGCCCUAGUGAGAAGAAGAUGGUUAGACGCCAAUUGAAAGAGUGGUAGUUUUCUCCAUGAUGACCGGGUGGGACCCUUCGAUCUACUUCCUAAACUAAAGGAAGAUGACGCUGUGGAUGAUGUCCCAGCUGGAAAGUCAACCUUUUCAUAUUAAUGCCUGCCCUAUUGGAGAUUCCAACUAUAUAUGCAUUUAUGCAUUUUCUUUUUACGCGACAGGUAUGUGACCUUAGGAAUUAGGUUCGGGAGUUGCUUUAGAAAUUCUUGCUGGCUCCGGGUGUCAGUAAUAGAAAAAUAUUAGAUUGGGAAAGACCAUGGAGGUUGCCAGUGCUGUUGGGGAAGCCUCUCAUCGAGAAGAAAAAAGAAAUAGGACAAUAGCUGGCUAAACCUCUGAGCUCUUUUUAUGUAAAGAUCCUUUUCUUAAAGGGACAUUUCCGCACUCAUUUAAGAUCAUAGAGGGCGGGCUUCAGUCGAAGAACCUUCUCCCUCCCUUCCACCGAUAAAACUACUCUUGCAAAGUCAUUCGUAUAACCUUCCUUCUAGUCGAAUAGAUUAUACGAAAGCAAAGCCAAGAGGUGAUAGUGGCAUCGAUCUUCUCAUUCCAUGAGGAAAAGGUUCGGAAUGUCCUAUUUUCAUGUCUAAAUCAGGAGUUUACGGGCUCUGUAGGGUCUCCAUCUAUAGGCUCACUAAAGAUACUAAAAAAAGGGGCUUUCUUUGAAUAGAAAUAUGCAGUCUUCCUUUAGCCAUCUCUUCCAGUCUAUUCAAGCCUUACAUCAGUCUCUCGGACAAUGCUCUGAACACGAAGGUGUGCAGUUCCGCCCCCUUCUCCCAUGCUGAGUCACAGGCAGUGCCUUGGAAAGCACGGGCGAGCCACAUGCAGGGAAACUUGCAGGUGUGGUUCUGGCCGGGGACCCCGGUAUACUGUACUAAUAUGUGUAGGUUCCCGUAAUUCGAGUGAGAUUGUCAUGGCGCAAAAGCAGAUAUGGUCUGGUAUUCCCUUGUUCCCUGUAUUAGUUAUGCUCUUUAUAUCUCGUCUAGCAGAAACUAAUCGAGCUCCGUUUGAUCUCCCAGAAGCGGAAGCUGAAUCAGUUGCAAGCUAUAAUAUAGAAUAUGCGCGGGACGCGAUCCUUAAUAGUUCACUGUUGGCGAAAGCCAAUGUCCCGGGGUCUCGGGGACUCAUUCUGACUGAAACAAGGGGCGGGUCUUUACCAACUUCCAAAUAUUCUAUUUUAGGGAAAAGGUGAGCGCCUAGCGCGAAAGGUUGCUUUACUAAGUAAGAUAAGGCAAGAAGCAAGGGCACAACAGCUGCACAAAAGCCCUUGCUUCUUAGCGCAUCCCUUUGCUUGCUCGUUAGCGCUUGACUAAUAAGAUAUAAAGAGCCUUUCUUGCUUGUUUAGUAAAGUCUCGCUUUUUGAUAGGAGUAGGUGCUUGCUAGGGCAGGGAACUUUUCAUUCUUCAUUCGAAACUACCAAGUGUCGGGUUGGGGAUUUCUGCCUUGUUAUAAAAAAGGGAGUUGGGUAAAGCAAACUCUCUCCUUGGAAGAGCACGGGUUUAGUCAAAUAGAACCGGGUUGCGCUGCUUGAUGCUCCGAUCGAAAACAAAUCAGUGGGGCCAUGCCGGUACGACUGAAUAUGUGUUAGAAAGGUCAAUCCCUCCCCUACGACACCAAAAAAACCGGGCCGAACUUCUAAACCACCCGCUUCCAUAAAACAAUAUUGUGGCAACGUAGACCUAAGUGGUCAUAUUGUAUCCUUGGGAACCAUCACAAGUACGGCCGGCCUAUAUAUAUUUGAACGAAAAUGCCGUGUCGUCCAGCGGAGCCUAGAAGAAGGUGACUCGCGCAGACAUCUAACUCCUUUUCAAUAGAAAAGAAUAGCCAAACCAACCCAGCUGGCUGGUCAAUCUCAGAGAUCUUAUCGGCCGGCAAACCAUAGACGGACGACCACGGUCCCGGCCUUACAAGCACCGGAGGUGUACUAAUCAAUGAACCCACGAAACCAACUUUCUUUUAUGACAAAAUAAACCAAGCCUAAGCGGUCAUGACAUCUUGUUGAUAUUGAUUGAGUAGGAGGGGCUUUCGCUGACUGAAUUCAUCCAUAAACUUAGACCUCGGUAACCUUCGUAACCAAAGCGUCACGGCAACAUCCAAAGGUGACCUGUGGGUUCUUAAGUAGGGGGGCAAGGAGGAGCACGUAGGAAUGCCGCCCAAUACAUAAGCCACUAGUGGCUGAGAGAAAGCCAACAGCACCUUGUAUAGGUUGGGCGGAGCUUAAAGAAGCAAGCCCCUAUCAGAGAAAGCCAUUGCGCGCUAGCUUAGCUAGCUAACGUCUUUCAGCUGGCUAUUAUGUUAGUUGUAGCGUGCCUUCCCUCCUUCUCUCACUUUGGAAAGAUUUUUCCAUAUUUUCUUAUGAUGACCUGGUCGAGAGAGUACGAUACAUCGGUGUAAUAUUUUUUUUUUUCUGUGAGCUUGGUUUACAUGACCGAAGGGUGCAGUAGAACUUGAAGGAGAGGAAUAAAUCCCUGGUCUAUAAUUUUUACAAAAGGAGGACCGCAAUUGGGAAAUAUCUUCUUGGUCGUCAUGAAAGAAGUUGACGUCCGGGGCUUCCUCUUUCCCUUUAAAAUAAAAGCGGUGAAGUCCAUCCUAAAGUUCCAAAUCUACAUCCAACACCAGAGGUUCCCGAUGAGAACAAAUUGUAAGGCGUUGAAAGAAACCCUUAAGAAAGAUGUCAAGACCCUCUUUGACUUUGAUAUAGAACACAUAAAGGGGGAGAGUCACAGUCUCCCUUAUUUCCUAAUAAUAAAAUUCUUUUUUGGAAAGGCCAGUAACAAUGCGAUAUUCCAUAGAUAAGCAAGAAACUGAAGCCUCUCUUUUUAUUUAUGAUGUACCGACUUUAAUUCACUUUCACUUUAGGAAAGGAUUUCUUUCUUCUCAAAGUAGGUGUUCGCUCCGCAGCAUGAACAGGUUGAGAUACGAUGUCGAUCACAUCGGGUGGGGCCAUUCUCCCAGAGCAGAGCUUGAAGCAAGGGUCAGAACUUUAGGCGGGGCCUCUGUCGAUAGAGCUAAAGCAGUCAUUCAUUAAUCCACCCUUGACAUACUAAGCAAAAGGGCUGAUCCAACUACAGAACAAAUACAGACAUAAACAUAAAAAAUACCGCACAGAGCACCCGCUCUAAAAAGCUGCCCUCCGGCAUUCGUCUUUCAAACUACCCACCAAUCAUCCUACACAACCAACUAUUCAUAAAAGAGAAAUGAAUUACAGAAAUCAGUGAAUGAAAUAAGGUGGAAAAAAAAACUAGGAACGAGCAGGGAGGAUUGGUUUCCCCACCUUAAAGUACCGAGCAUUUUAGGGAUCUAGCUCGCUGAUAUAAAAAACCGAAAGAUUCAAUCCAGGGAUGCUUGGGACUGGAUUGAAUCCUUAGUUAGAGAGAGGGGCUAAGCUAAGCCUACGUAACGCUAUGGGAAUAGCCCUUUUUGUCCACUUUCAACUAUGCUAUAUAGAUGGGCUACCUUUUGAAAUAAAAUGGAAUAUGUAAGUAAGUAGCAUCUAGAAUAGAAUCCAGAGUAGCUAAGAAAAAAAAGGGUUGAACCCGGCUCACAAACCAGGAGAUCUAGGGGCUUUUGCCCGCUCAUCAUCAAUCCCAUUCUACUACUCUGUUAGUACAAAUUCUUGUCAGUCUUCGAGGGACAUCGAAGACUUGGAACUACAUCGAUAGACAAAGCAUUUUCCUUCCUCACUACUAUCUCGAGAGAAGCAAUCGGCCUCGGAUGAUGUCAUUGGUUCUUUUCUUCUCUUUCCCUCUCGGGAGCUUGCUUUCGGAGUCGACGUGCUUCCUUAUUACGAAAGCACUGUUUUCAUCCCACUAGAAAUAUGACAAUACAAUAAGGACAACGGGGAAGGGAAAAGAAAGGAAAGCACUGACCUAUAUUCGCAGCUUUAGGGGUACAGUUCUAAACUGCCUAUUUAAAUCCCUUCGCUAAAGGUUUCACUCUAUAAUCUGAUGAGUCACCACGGAAAGCAAAUUCGAGAAAAGUGAAAACAGGACUUUUAUUCCGAUUGUUCAGCUAUUCCGCGUUGAAAGAGGCGGUACCGUAGAGGGACUAAUUGCUUGCCCGGGUUGAAGGAAGUCGAACCAAUCUAUCGUUCAAGGUAACAAGGUAUUAAGAAAAUCGGCAUGGGGUUCCGUACCUUAUAAUGUUAAAAGCGACUCUAAAUUACAUAUAAUAAGAACACGUCUUUACUUCACGUCUUUUCGGUUAGAUAAUGGACGACGAUAAGCCACCGCCCAGUAGUGGUCUCUGAGCUUGAUUUCUCCGAGCGAUAGGUCACAAUCUGAAUUUCAGACUGAAAAGUGGAAAGUAAUAAGUUCAACGGGUAAGAGAAUGCGUUUAACCGAUUGAAAGAGUGAUAAGCAUCACUAACGGUAUAGCGAAUAGGGCGUUUAACUGUAACUCACCGGUAAGACAGAUAACGUUUGUGCAUUGAGUUGGCUUAUAGAAGUGGAAAUCCGACCUAUAUUUAUUUCCAACUAAAGGUAAAGGCGCUUUUCACUUUACCGGAAUCCGACGUCAAUUGGUUACUGGUUGGUAGUUCCUCAUCGUGCAUUGACUGACUCCUCAUGGGGUUGAAAACAGCGCUCUGAAACCGGUGGGAAUGAAAAGCGCAAUCCAUUCCGGUGGGUAACAAACCUUAAGUGUGGUUUAUUUGUCUCUAAUGAAAGGAACCGAUAGUAGGAAAGAUACCCUACAUUUGAGAGAGUUGAAAUCUCACUCAUAGAUUUUGAAGAGUUGAAUAGGACUGUGUGAGCUGCAUCGAAGAAGUACUUCCCGGAGCGAGUAAGGCAUAGGGCCAUGCCUUACGAAGCGAAGGCGCCCUCUAUUGCUUUAAACUAAACAGUACGAACCUGCAGCGAAAGCGGCCUUAGCGACCAUUAGCGACAUAAAACAGAAAGAAAUAGGAAAGCGGCCAUAAGCCCUCCGAUCGAGUAGUAAAGACAAAGGGAAAGGUUGAACAACACUGUGCGUUCCAGACCUGAUUGAGAAAGAGCGUUAAUAGUUGUGUGUGUCGUACGGGGAACCGAGUUCGCACUCCCAUGUUGCCCAACACAACAAAAGGGGCUUUACUUUCAGUAACUUCUUAUUCUAGACCUGAUUGAGAAAGAGAGUUAAUAGUUGUGUGUGUCGUACGGGGAACCGAGUUCGCACUCCCAUGUUGCCCAACACAACAAAAGGGGCUUUACUUUCAGUAACUUCUUUCACUCGUUCUGUCGUCUCAUUUCAGCUUUCAACCGCAUUUCCACCACGAUUUUUCUCCAAACGAGAAGCCUUGGUUAGCCGUUCACUCACUCUCAAUGAUCUGCUAUUUAGUUCGUUUGUUGUAGCAGAGCGAAUAAUGUGCCGAUGGAAGGUAGCUGCAUGCAGCAUAAAGAAAAGAGAUUGACAUCCGACAGCUCCUUGUCCUUUCCAUCCGGAGGUGGCGUUGAUCCAGCUAACGAGCAACUGCUUCGUCUUUACCCACUUAGUGUACUUAGUAUUUGAGGACUUCUUUUCAUCGUCUGUGAAUUAGUUGGGUUGAAGCGAGAGAGAGCUUCUCGGUAGAGGUAGUCAAGCUAAGAGCUAGAAAGUUGCAAUUCGGUUAAAAACCAGUAGCAUGAUAGUUGUUCCUCGGUCUCAGUCCAUUCAGUCAAGCCAGAAGGCAAACCGGUGGAACUCCUAAAGCCCUUGUUGCUUUAGUCAAAGAAGUGCCCUGCAAUGGCAAGAGAAAAUGCAUCUUCCAUACCAUCAUGGCACACCAAAAGAAGAAGGGCUGCUAAGCCAGAUAGAAAGCCUUGGAACACCAAGACAGUAGCAAGUGUGGCUACUGGAACACGAUAAGGCGAUGGUACAACCAUGGAAUAAAAGUUGUGCCUCGACAAGAAGCAUCACAUCUAGCAUGUGGAUUCCAAUUCCAAAGCUGUGACAAAACUGUGGGUUCAUGACCUGCUUUACGCCUAUAGUUUAGAAGUCUCGAGCUAAAAUAGAAUGAAUCCAAUCUGGGAUAAAACUCCUUCCAUGGGGAAGUCCAAGUUGGGAUUGGGGAAUCAGAAAGAAGUCACAGUCCGGGUGGGAAACUGUUCGAGCGGAUCAAGCACUUUUUUUCUUCCUUUAUUAUGAUAUCCGGAAGUAGAAAGAAGUUGUAUUGGAAAGGUGGAUUAGUCGCCUAGUGACAUCCUAAAUCCAAUUACUUCACUCCAUUUGAAAGUUGGGCCCUCCUCAGGGCGGGCAAAAAAUAGAGUAUAGAAUAAAAGAGGAUAGCUUAGCAGGUAGGUACCACUACCAACACGAAGGAAAGAAACUCGCAAAAAAAAGCCCCUAUUGUAAGAGGCUGGUGGAAGGUGUGAGAUCCGAAUCACUGUCUUAGUCUGCUUCUUGUUCAGAUGUAUCACCUGCUUCAUUGGAAGAGUUCUAUCCCUCAACGGGAGCAAGGAAGGACUCGUUAGGCCCCUUCUAUUCCGUUCUUUGUUUGUAGUGCACUGGACACGCUUAGUCUAUCCUUAUCUCUUCGACAUGGUUAUCUCAAGCACCCCCGUAGUGUUGAUUACAAACCAACUUCUUCUUGCGCUUAGCUUCUUUCUCCGCGUCACCUGAUAUGGCAAGCGGAUCUGAAAGACCAAAAAAAACUGUUUAAAAGUCUCUUGCAAGACUUUUUCAAAAUAAGGACCGGGCCAUGGACUGGACGAUAGAGGGUAAUCGUGAUAUAUUGAGAGAUUUUGGAAUCUUAAUCCAAAUUAGAUUAGUAUAGGAAUGUGGAAUAAGAGGCGGACCCCGGUAGGACGGGGAGACAAAGAUAAAGAUGGUGGGCACAGCCAGCCCUGUAGGUGGAGGUACACGAAGACCACACACAUGUUUUGAAUCUAAAUCCCACGCUUAUCAGCUCUUCAGGAAGAGAAGGACUCCCUGGGUUCUAUACAGAAGCUGCACAAUGGCUGGGCCUGAGGAUCCACAUUUCAAUAUUAUCGUAAGAAUCAGAGAGUUAUGAGAAGGGAUUGGAGGUGUGAAUUGAGACAUAUUUGGAGGGAAGGCAAUUUGAAAAUGUGUUGGCUAAGCAAAGUAUCGGUCCUGCUUUUGGCUUAACCAUCCUACGUGACCCCCUACUGCAAUUAGACAGUGGAAAAGGAAUGAUAACUUAGGUGCGAUGACACCUAGAGUUGUGAAGGUGAGUUAGAGCGUAAAGCCUUAACAUGUUCCAAAAAAGGAAGUAUACAUGUCUCUCCCUCACGGAUAUUCUCCACAGGGGGAGAACUCAGUUUGCCGCCUGAAUCAGUCCAUUUAUGGACUUAAACAAGCGUCCCGAAAUGGGUUUGCCAAAUUUGCUUCUGUGGAUGCUGGUUUUCUUCAAUCCCAGGCAGUCCCUUUUUACUCGUCGACGUGGAAACUAUUCUUUUUUUUUCUUUUAGUAUAUAUUGAUGAAAUUGUAAUCAUCGAUAAUGAUAUUCAAUUCAUCAUAUCAAAUCAUUGAUUUGGAGAUAGAGGUGACGGAGGAAGAGUAUCGGGAGUGGUAUAUUCCCAGAGCCUUGAGAUCUUUCUUUUGCUAUUCUCCAGCAGCUCUAGGAGUUCCCGUUCUCGCCUUUCUUGAUCUUCUAAGCUUGAAGCUCGCCUGCUUUGAGAGAGGAGAGACAGCCAUUUGAUGCAUGACAAUGGAGAAAAGUACUCUAUGCUUUAUGUUUCCUAUGCAGCUACUACAACUAAUAAGCUAUGCAUGAUGAUGUGUGAUGCAUGCUUUGACUUCUAAGGCUUGACAGGUCCUUUUGGUCGAUUUCCAGUUGAUUGCCUCAACCUAUCGAUUAAGUGAGUUGGAGAAGAAAGUCUUAGAAGGCUAUGACUCUAUAAGUUUUGCAUCUUAUUUUUUUGCUUGUCUACUAUUUAUUUAGGUGCAAAGAGCCUAAGCGGUUCAAGCUAUUAUAUUCCGAGCCUGCUCUCCAUUUCCACCGUUGAUGCAAUAGAAGCUCUUAAUGCAAUAUCUGGUGGUGAAGACAUUCCCGCUGCUACAAUUGGAGUUGACGGUACUAGUUCUGUUAGAGUAAGAGCUCUUGCUGGAAUAACCAGUGCUAGUUACUUGACUGUUGGAGGAGAAACCACUGUUAGAAAUGUUCACGUAGAAGCUCCUCUUUCAUCUGCAGGUAUAGACUUCUUUGGAUCUUAUCCGCUUCAGAGGUUAAUCAAUAGGGAAAUCCGCAUUUUUUUGAUCUUCCUCUAAAAAAUUCUUUUUCAUGGGCAUCUUCUAUUCAAAAGGAUCUUACUCAAUUCAAUAGAAACUUAACUUCUACCCCACUUUUUUUCUUUUCAGGCUAAAUUGUUGGGACGGACUUUUUAUAGGGAUUCAAGCUUGCGAAAUGCUUUAUCAUUCUUACUGAAGAGUAAAACUCAACUGGCUUUUGACACAGGUGCGAAGCAAGUCUAUGCGGAAAGGAUAGGAAAAAGCUCUAUACGAUACGCGAGUUGUUGGUGGAAUACGAGUAAGGACUUUGUUUGCCCAAGUCCCUUGCUUUAGUUGUUGCUGGAAUACGAGUAAGGACUUUUUUUGCCCAAGUCCCUUGCUUGAAAGACUAUCGCACUUUCAGUGGUACUGAGACUGUCCCUACGACUACCCUUUAUCAAGCUGGUUUACAAGAGUUCUGGCUUUCCCAAUCUGACAAACUUCUAGGGAAUAAAAUGGCUUUCCCCUAUUAUAUAUAUAUAUGCGGUCCUAACCUUGCUACUCUUACUUCCACUAGCAAGAGAACUUCUGCUCGUAACAUACCCCUAGGGAUAUAAUCUUACUUCUUGAAGCGAGCUACUUUAACUGCCAAAGGAGCGGGGCAACUCGAGUUAGACGAGAGGCAGGGAUGUAAUUUCAAAGAGGCUCGACCGGACCCAAGAACCGGACAGAAGACAGGCCCCACUGUGAUACCUCGUGCAAGUUAUAGUUAAUGACCUGAAAGAAGUCACUAGCUUCUUGCUAUCGAGCGUGCCUUAGCCUUAGUUUACAAGGAAGCUUUGUCGUACUUAGAAAAGGAUGGUUCUAAAGUAGGUGUCAAGCUGAGAAAAGGCGGAGAAUUUUGGAAUUCAAGAAAAGAAAGGCAUGGUCCAAUACAUGUAUUCUAUACAAAAGGAAUUCCCUCUCACUCUCAGGAACGGAUUGAACAACAGCUGUUAGGGAAGGAUCUCUAUCAUUGGUUCAUCAGAAGCCAUCAAGCCCGAAAGUAGCAAGGAGUGUGCUAGUGAGUCCCAAGCGAAGGAAAGAAGGACAUGAGAGGCAUAGAGAGGACUCAAGAACAAGACACGACUCAGACCCCGGUAAAUUUGAUCUUCAUUGGCCUUGCUGUCCGCAGAUCGAUUACUCUCCUUUGAAGGUGAAGCCCAUUUUAAGGCAAUUCAUGGUAUCCGGGAUCGGACAUCCAAAGGGAAGGCGAGGUUUCAAAGUCUAUUAUGGAAGAGGGCCCCUACUGGUAGUGAUACCCCGAUCUCAUGGAUGAAGGCUAACAUUUUCUAUACGAAUAGAGGGAUGUGCAGAUCAAUUCAACUUUUCACUUUGCCAUCUAGAGAUAGUUUGCCUUGAGUUAGGAUACGGAGUUGGAAGAGAAUGCCAGUAUAUCAGUUCAUCUUCAUCAAAGGCCAAGAUCUCCAUAAAUUCUAUUAUUUUGCCUCUCUUUGCUUCUAAGGCAGUUUCAAGUUUAAGCCGAUCCUCGAGGUCCAGUAAAUGGUCACUCCUCAUCCCGAUCUUAUUAAAGGAGGAAGUAAACAAAUCAAGGUUUCUACGUACUUCUGUUCUGGAGGGUGCGUUCUCGCUUUCAGGGGGAAUUCAAGUAAAAAUCUAGUACAAGGAGGAAGCGAAAGGCUAGCUACCAGGUACGAAACAGAGUAUGAAUAUAAUAAAUCACAGAGCAGUGGGGAUCAUGCCCAUCCCAUUAGAUAUCAUUUGAGCUUCCCCUUUUCUAAGAUCCUGGACGUGGUACUGACGCAUGAACUUCGUAACUAGUUUGACCGGUUUGUUGGCAAAAGGAAAGGUCUGUUCAUUUGUCCAGAAAUAUGUUUUCGGUCUAACUAUUGAUUGAACCAGGGGUUGGGCUCCUGUUGACAGACAUAAGAAGUGGGAUUCAGAAUAGGGGAAGAGCAGCUCUACUAAUACUUCUGCUUAUGGAAAGACAUAAGAAGCACCCUAUAAAACAUGCAAGAUCUCUUAGUAAGCCCUUGUUGGCAUAUCAGGUACCAUUGAACACAGUCCAAGGAAAGCAUCUAUCUAUAGUGAUAGUGAUCCAUCGCCUUGACUUGAGUCUCCACCACAUCUAUUUCCUGCCCGCUUGUAGCGGUUGGUUAGGCUAGGCCGGUUAGAACCUCUCCGCAGUUCUCGAUUCUGAUUGAACUAGGGAGGAUCGGUAUUGCUGGGGGAGAUUGUUCUUCCUCAGCUGGCUUGUUAACCAUGGUCUCUUGAAGGUUUCAUUCUUUUACCAGCUCUCCCAACCAACAACCUGCUAACCCUAAGCUUGCAAGCACCUUGGUCACAUCUAAGUCUCUAUUCAAUUGUUCUAUUUGGGACGGAAAGAAAAAGAUCUGCCUUUUGCAGGAAGAAUCGCUCGAAAGCACGAUAUGGGCCUUCCCUUCCUUUACGUCAUCCACCACCCUAUCCUAUCCACUCUCCCCAAAUGUCAACUCGUAAUUUGAAGAAGAAAGAUAAGGAAAUCCAAUUAGAGAUAAGCUGCCCAUGAUCAUCAUGGCAUAGGUAAAAAGGAACGAGGAGGCAAGCCCCCCCAUCUUGUUCUCUUUUUGUCCUUGAAUCGGAUGAAUCGAGGGUUCCAAACCUUCCAAAAGUAAUAGGUAUGUGUUCUUUCUUGGCACUCUCUUAGACUGUCUAUCCCUUUAUACCUGGGUAUAAAAGCCAGAAAGAAAGUAGCUUCUUUGAUAUGGUUCAGUAAAUAGGAAUCCCAGUAAUACAGUAAACAUUGGAAGAACAUAGGAUUAUGGGUCCAUAUAGGAAUGAAGAAAGGGCAUGAUAGGCUAGUUUGAUUCCAAGCCAAGCAGCAGGGCAUGAUCAGUCUUAUCGGGCGGGGAAUUGCAUUCGCUAAUUGAGCUUCCUACGAUCGCACCCUAGGAGAGUGCGAAUGGCAAGUUGAAUGGUCUGGUUCCACUUAGUAGCCCAAAUCCGCUUACCCCCUUUAACACGCAAGUACGCUUUAGCUAUUAAGCUUCAAAACAACCCAUAGGCUUACUUCGAAGUAGGAGCUUGAACUCAAGUAUUAGAAUGAGUCUUAUUAGACUUUCCCUGGGGAAAGCUCCCCCCAACCCCCGUGAGUCCCGUCCUGCCCUGUCUUGAACUAGAACUUGGAAACCAAGACACAUACCUAUAAGAGAGUAGCUGCCAAAACAAGCUCCCUAAGGUCGCACCUAAGAUCCGAAGGAAUCGCUUGAGAACUAACGGCAUACCUGAAGUUAGCUUGUGUGCGCAUAGCCUUAUCUUAUCUUUGAAUACUUCCUUUAGGCGGCUAGAAAGAUGUUAUUUGUGUGGUCCGUUCUAGUGACAGCAUUUCUAUUCAAUUCUAAUUAUGUAGGAGCCGUUGUUUUUGCUUUGUUUGCCGGAUUGGUACGCUUUCUUUUCUAAAAACCCUUCUCUCAUAGGUCGUUACAUUUCAGGCCAUUUACGAUCGUUUAAAGGGCCUUAUAUUAUAAAGUCUAAAGGAAGUCAAGAUUGUUCUUGCGGAGCAAAGCCUACUUACUUGCUCUUGCUGCUUUUAAUUUAAGAGCAAGUCGGUCUAGCUUCUUACUCUUUCACCUUUCUAAGAAGUCGAAAUAGAAAGGGGUAGGAAAGAGCUUGAACGACCAAUUUCACAAGAGGUUGUACCCAUUGUCAUGCUUCUCAACGAGAUUCCAAGGCGCUUCACCGGGAAGAAAGAUUUCCCAAAAUGCGAUUUUCAACCUCUUUUCAUAGAAUCAUUUGUUAUAAGAAUCGGGUGUUCGAUCCUUACUCUUACUAAGACUCCACUAUUUCAUUCAUUCAUUCAUUCUCGGUGCAAAACCCUCCAGCUAGGGAACUCUUCAUCGAAUAGAACCCUUCUUUCUGUAAUUCUAUUUGCAUCCUCAAAUGAUGUGAUCCUGGCUCAGAAAACUCUUCAUCAACCGUCAGAGGAUUCGUUUGUGACUUCCCCCUUUCCGAGAGUUUUCAAUCGCGAUCCAAGCUGAACAAAGAAUCAAAACCUUCCCCAAUAAAUAAAGGAUUAGUCGAAUGUGAAUUCGUGAGCAAAGCUGAUAACAAAGUGUGGUGUACUUUUUAUCACUUGGAAGGGUAAGGAUCAGUUGGAUGCCUUGGAGGAAUCAUAGAUUGCACCGUUGGCAACGACGCUUUUGAGUACCCCUAACCUUGAGGGGGCCGUAGAUCGAGUUCUGGGCUAAGGUUACCAGUUUCACAGUCCUUCGAAACUCCCUUAUGGAAAAGGUUCAGUAGAUCUACCAGGUUACCAGAAAUGACCAAAGAACAAAAAAACGGCUAACCGAGAGUCCUUACCCGACUAAAAUAAAGGGUUUUCUGGUAGAAUGGUGGUAGAUAGCCUUUUCUGGCCAUAUGGAUUGAAAAAGAGUUCUUUGGGAAAGAAACUACACUAGGCUCCCAAGAUCAAUGGAAGGUCUCGCGUAGAUCAAUUACCUAAACCAUGCUUUUCCCAAGCUGAGGUCUAAGACCCUUUCGAAAGCAAACCCCAGAAGAAAUAUGGAGGGGGCACUACCUGCAGUUAGAACAGACAGAUAAGAGCACAUAGCAUCACUUACUGGGAUCGUCGAACGGAUAGCAGCAUCGCAUUGAGAAUUGACUCGUCGGAUUAACCACUUAGACGGAGAGUUCCCCAUUUUCCCUUUCAUUGGCAACUGAAAUAUAUCAAAACGGAUUGCUUGGUACCCAGGGCUUCAAAAAUGAAUUGAAAAUAAUAUCGCUUUGCUUGACCUGAUCGUUGUGCCAAGGGCUGGUGGUACCUUGAGAAGCUCUUAGUUCCGUUUGCCGGCCCCACGGCUUAUUUCAUCUCGAUGUUUGAAAGAUGUUCUGUUCACAUACUCAUUUUCACACAUAGGCACAGAGAGUCAGUCAAAACUCCACUUUUUAGAAAGAAGGGCCUACGACAUAAGGCUCCUCCUACGAACCUAUGAACCUCCGAACCUAAGGAAUAGAGUUCAGCAUCGGGAAGCCUACUCCUCGGGCUGUUCGGUACUUGAAUAUGCUUGCCGCCAAGAAAGACUACUUUUCUAUUCGCUUUCCUACGCGCCUCUACUCAUGCGGGACUGACUGUGCAAUACUAAGAAUGGAGCACGCCGCCCGUCCAUGGAGGCAUUAUGGUUGGAAGGCCUUCCUUAGCGGCCUCUUUCUCAAAAGGCAUGAUUGAAGGCAAAUGAGUAGAGACCCCUACAAGCAUAUGAAGUCGCGUUUUAAGGGCCUUUGGAUGCGUUAGGGGGAAAACUCUCCAGUACAAGAGAUAUUUUAUUCUUUCUGUUACUCCCGGGUAUAGGUACAUUACGUCACUUCAAUUAGACAAUAUAAGAAAUCAAGGGCUUUUCUAAAAGGCUCCACGCAUAAUAACAUAGCUUUUAUCUCAGCUAUCCUCUACGAUAACACGACCGUUGGUGCCCUUCCGAGCCGAGUGAUAAGGGAUUGAAAUUCAUUGGACUGGACAUGUCUUCUCCACGAUCUCAGGGAAAUAAAAAUAAAUUCUCAAAGAUCCAUAAACAAAUCUGUAAAGUUGUCUAUAAAUGUAAAAUCAUAUAUAACCCCUUAUUUUGAGGCAACUAUUCCAUAGCCUCUUAGACUGCCUUGCCUGACCUUGAGCUCUUCGCUUCUCAGUGUUGACAAAACUAAAAGUGCGGACUAUUGAUAGCUAUAGGUUUAAGGUAUGAAAAUAUUAUUUUUGUCUCCUCACUCCCUGACUCCAUUCUACGAAGGAAGGGCUAUUGAACUCAUACUUGCCAUUCAGAGGAAUUUCUCCUCGGUAAUACUAGCCAGAACUAAACUCCUAACCUUUGAAAUUGAGCUUCCCCGGUUCUGGGAGAGUUGCUUCUUUCUUUGACUUGGUUUGCCCACUUCAAAAGGUUUCCAGAAGACCUUAUCCCUCAAACCUCAUGUGGAAAGAGAGAUUCCUUAGGUUGCUGUUUGAGAGAAGAGAUAUCCAUUGGGACGAAGCUGAAAGAAUGGCACCUGCUUUCUUAAGGAUCCUCGCUAAUUCAACUAGUUUUCAUUUCCGGGAAUGAACUAGCCUAGAGGAAAUAGGCGUCAAGCCUAUAAGUCAAGUACGCAAGAAGAGUUUAUAGGCGAAGACACUCUCAGUCGAAGGUAGGGCAGUCUUCCUAGCUUUAGGGUCAAUAAAAUAGAUAGAAGAUCUAGCGCCUCGGUCAGAGAGAAUGGGGCACGAGUUCGUGACUACCGGUAAAAAGUGUUUGUAGCUUCAACUCCUUCUUUGACUAGCUAAUCUACUUUUCAGAUGAGUUCCUUAGUUUUUGGACAGGACAGGUGGGAACCAGGAGGUAACGCGUCUGUUAAAGCAAUCGGGCAAAUGAGUGUAUACUAGCUUACUAGAUAUAGCUGUUACUAUGCGUUCUAGAUACCUUUCCAUGUCUUAUAGGUGCAUGCAGGCAACUUGAGAUCGAACUUCGACUUCGUAAACUCUGCUUCAUCCGAAGCGAUGAAUCAAUCUAUCUUUUCUGCUAGCCUUUUCCCUUUUUAGUAUUAGAAUCUAGCUUUUGCAUCUUCAUUAGAUACGGGGAAUCUCGCAAUACUCAGAAUGGCCUGUCAGUAAGAAACUCUCUAUCAAUAGUAAGUGAACGCGUAAAAACCAAGUAGUCGCUCACUGACCCAUACACCUAUUGUAAUGUCGGUCAACGAGGUAAAAAAUCCCAAUCGGAAUGAAGAGUACUUUCCUAAGAAGCUAGAUAGAAGAAAAAAAGAAAUUGUCCCUUGACCUAAGAAAGACACUGACCACCCUAAUCUAAUCUUGAUUAGAACAGAAAAACUGAAGACGCAUACUGAAAAAGUCAAUCCCUCCCUUUUUUUUUGUUUUGGCACUAGUGUUGGUAUGGUCUUCGGAGAAUCGGUAAGACAUAGCGGACGACCUUCCUCAGUCAUUGGCAAAGUACCCUUUCUUGUUCCUAACGAAUGAUUGAUAGGAACGGAUUGCCUGGGCUUCCCUGCAUCCAAUCAACUCAUACCUCCCAGCCCUAUAACUUCAACUUAGACUUAGGGCUGGCCUUGCCUCAUUCUUGAAGCUACAUUCUCUUCCUUAAUCGACCUUCCCUACUUCAAUCGACCUAUACUUCAUCCUAUCGGAGUGACUUCAUCCUACCUACUGAAACCAUCUUCUUUCUUCUUUCUCAGUUUAAAGAGAAUAGGGGCAUAAGUUCUACAAAACGUGUAUGUUAAGCAUGACGAUUGGUUCCUUGCUUCAAGACUAGAUGAAGGCAUUCUGCCAAUAACGUUUGAAUAAGACGAAGGCAAUAGGCGUCACUGAACUAGGUACUUUCCGACCAACUGCCCAAACUCCAACCAGCUUUUUUGAAGAUGUCUGCUGCGGAUGUUUCCUAUGGUUUACGGGCGAGAGAAGAGAGCAUUACAUCAAGUCAAUAUCAAUAGAAAGAGGUGCUUCUAACUAAUUCUGUCUGAGCCUUGAAUGAACUACAUUCUCUUCGAUCCCUUUCCGGAACCAGCCCUAGACCUCUUCUUUUGAAUGUUUUCCAGAGCUACUUUUUCAGUCGCAGGUGCUGCUACAACUAAUUGGUUCUUCAGUUGAUUGGUGAACAAAGGAAUUUAGUACGGAACAGUAAAGAAAUAUAAGAACAUGACUAUCGACAGCUUGAAAAAGAAAAAAAGAGUUCAACCGUUCCUUAAAUAUGGAGUCAAUGACUUUGAAGGGCCAUUAUUGAGUCAAGCAACCGAAACCGAGCAAAGAAGUCACAUCUGAGCUAAUUAUAACUAAGUCAUCCGAUUAUAUUAUACCAAGCAAGACCCUUUUGCAGUUUACUCGCUAGUUUCAUCACUCACUCGACGAGCCUUUCUAUUUGUACCAGUUGAGUACGUCUGCCCAAGACCCAGACAAAAGCUUUGUACCUUACCACGGAAACUCCGCUAUCAAUGUCGUCUGGCCCAGUUGACCCAACUGGACUUAACCAUUUGACUUCUGACAAUAAGAGGAAUAGAAGCCCUCUUGAGUAAGGGCUCUUGAGUUAGAGUUCCAACUCACCUUCUUUCUUCUAUUUCAUAGCCUCUUCCGUAUUCUCAAUCGGAAUAGCCAGGCCAACAAUCUUUUUCUUUUAUUAGGAACCGAAUCCGAAAGAGACGCAGCAGCAAGAGGUCCUGAAUCAAAUAGAGCAAGCAAGUUUGUAUUCUGUUCGGCUUAUGGCUUCAUUCCCAAAGUAAAGAGAAAGAAGACACAGCACCGGGGAAUAGCUCUGAGAAGGACUUCUUUGAGUAAAGAGAUAAGUAAGGGUAAGAGUCAUUCCAAUUGAGUAGGUGAAGAGUCUCUUUCGAGCGAGAUCCUUUACCACGCCUAACUAAAUGAAAGAAAGUAAGAGAGAGAGUGGCCGCCUAUUUCUUAAAUGAAAAUAAAGGACUUCCUUAUCCUAAGGCUGUCACUGAAUGAAUCUGGUAACUAAUGCCGCCAGAGAGGCUGAGGUGAGUAUCGUCGCAUCGCCUCCGACAACUUCUUUUGCUUUGUAGCUACGGCUCUUAUCCUUCCUAAGUGGUUCGUAAGUCUUUCUUAGUUUAGACUUCUAAAGACUACUUGCGCCCCUUGUUCCUGCUUUAGCCUGUGAGGGAUUGCUCGUGUUGUUCUUUUUUUUUCCAGUGAAGUGCUUAUAGGGCUUAACUUACGAUUUAGCAAUUUCUGUGAUAGAAGAAGAGUAUAUUAUAGAAUAGACUAUACCCCUAGACCCGGUAUGGAAAAGGAGUAAGGUAAUUCAUCAUCAACCAAGGAAGGAAUUGUUAGAGUAUUGUAUUGCCCUCCAAUAGGACUAUACAGAGCAGCGGGAAGGUCGGAAUCUAGUGAAUCUGUCUUUAAAGUGUAGCUCCGCACCUUACCCAUCGUGUAAUGACAGUGUGCCUUCACCCCAUGAUCUUAGUGCUCCGAUUGCGCCUUCUGUAUCUGUAACUGUAAGUGCAUAUGUAUACACUAAUUUAUACGUGGGUUCCGCUUCGGGGAAGACGAGUUGACUCCACAAAGCAGAAAAUGCCUCGGAUAUUCCAUUAACGGUUACCUAGCCCAGGAAAGGAAAAGAAAGGGCAAUCUGCUAGAGGCACCUUCCUAUUCCUUGCCGCAACGUAUCCCAGGUUGGCUACCCUUCCCUUGCGAAAUCCUAGGAGACUCUUGCUUGUAGGCGUAAGGAAGAUUUCAGAUUCACCGCUUGGACCUAAAAACAAUCUACUAAAGGUCUUCCGAUUCUGCUGCUGGUAUUUUCUUUUCUUGGAUCUUAUCGAUCUAUGCCCUUUUGGUCUAUGGGGUAUCCCCCUUUUCCGCUUUUCUUUCUUUCAUCUUCCUAAUUCCUCAGGUAAGAUUCAUGCCAGUCUGACUAAGGUAAGGGGGAAGACCUCAUUUCGUCAUUCAUAUCUAUUCAUCUUAGCCCUGCUUCGGCGAUUCAAUCCGACAUUUCAUUCCCCCUUCAUCAUUUGAUUUUUCGCAUCUAAGAGCUGAUCUUGCAAAAAACCUUUCAUUCGAUGCUUCUGAUUCAACUCCCAGACAACCAAGCAAGUAUGUGUGAAGAUAGGAUUAGCCCCUGUGGCAAGCAUUAUCCGGGAACGAUUACCCAGGAACUGGAAUAUUGUUGGCGUGACACGCCUAAAUCCCCCACAAUUAAUCCACAAGGCUUCAGGCGACUGGAGCAACCUUUGAAGGCACUAGGCCUUGUUCACCCUUUCAACUAAGUAUCUCACUUUUUCCUUGAGGGGAGCCGAGAUUCAAAAUAUGUGGGCCUUCAUCGCCUUAAGGCAAUCUAUCCAAAGAGCCUACCCUAUAAUAGAUUCAGCUAAAGCCGCGGUUGGAAGAUUUCUUUCUCAAUCAUGAAUCCGAGCUUGCUACUUGAAUCACGAAAGGCGCUUUUCUCACUAUCUAUUCAAUUUAAAAUGCUCACUUAUGAAAUCAAGCUAAUAAGGCCAAAAACAGAGCAUGGAGUCCACUGGCAUGAGAAUCAAGCGAAGUAGAGACAUAAGCGGAUCCAAAGAAAAGAAGCAAGACGACUACUUCCAUUCCUCUCCUUAGACCGACAGUACUACAAGAAAGAAAUAAGAGAGAAAUAAGGCGAUUAUUACCUAAAGAAUAAUGUGAAUUAGAAUAAUAAUACCUCACAAAGAAGGUAGAUGAAUUGCUUAAAAGAGCUAAGAUCCGCUGCUAUUUUCAUGGAGAAUAAGCUCUUAGAUGUAGCAUUAUCGGACGUGAAUCUAAAGGUUAGAACUAAUAAUCUAGCUCUUUGCAAUAAGGGCUUUUUUCAGGACAAAUGCCAAAUGCAAAGAAAGCAGAAGAUGUAGCUUUUCCAGCUCGCUCUAGUCCCCUACGAUAAGGAUGAGAAAAGGUCAAGGAGUGAAUAGGAGGGAAUAGGGGCAUCAGUCUUAGCUCUUACUUUUCGAGAAUCAACUGUACAUGAAUAGUCUCUUCCUUAGGCCUUCAAGGAGGAAGCGAGGGUGGGACAAGUGAAUCCGAUGUGAGGACAGGAUUGCUGCGUCAGUCGAAACUAGGGCUUAUGCAAUUGAAUCAGAAAUGCACAUGUAAGAUAAAAAUGGAAAGAGAGAGCCAAAGCAAGGAUUGAUCUAUUCCAAAACCACUGGGCAGGGACCUAUUCCUAAGCCAUUUUUAGUAGACAGACAGGGAAAAGGACUAAAAACAUUCUUCGCAAGAUGAGAGCAAGCAUUAGAUGAAGCCGACUUUGUCCAUCUUGCAUAUCAAAUUCCUCUAUCGAUAGCGUAAAGCCAUCCAACACAGAGAACGAACAUGGUCGGUAGGUAAUUAAUCUUCGUUUGGAUAGCAAGUACGGUACACGCAUCAAGAUAUGAUCUGUGCUUUUUCAUUCCUGGCAUUCAAAAGAAAGGGGGGAAAAUGAUAGUGAAAAGCACCCUAUAGAUAAAGAUCGAAAGCCUGUGGACCGGGGUUGAACCAUAUCCCCCUUCUAUUAAUCGAGAGUGUGACGAAGUGAACCGAAAAUAUUGUGCGGUAAACUGAUGCUGUGAGGCGGAGAUAGCUGCACUUCUUGUUCUUUUUUCCCUUAGAUUCUUUAACGCUUCUUUCAGGUCUCGCUACCCCUGACCAUAAGAAGAAUGUUAUACUAUAAGAGCGAGGUGCAAGUGCUGCAUAAAGUUCUGUUAUCCGUUGUUCAAGCAUUUCUUUGAGUAGAGCGCUUUCUUUUCGGUCAUUGGCAAGCGUAGAUGGGCUUUCACACCCGCUUAUGUUGUGGGUGGGAUGAAGGAAUUUAUCUUAUUAUAUUAUAUGGAAGAAGAUCGUUAGAUGGUUAGCGGCAAGAACAAAACAAGGGGCAUUGUAUGGAGGUUUCCAAGCAGAGGUGCGAAGCAAUUGAGAUGCAUAUAGAAUAGAUGGUCGGGUUCCAAACCUCGCCUAGCACCGAAAGAGAAGGCCUUGUUCUGCAGGGUACGGCCUUGGACAGUGGAAAAAUGAAUAAGAUGGAGCCUACCUACUUGGUUCGGACGAAGUAGAUAGAUCAAAGGAAUGGAAUCCAGGUGGCUCUUAUGCCACUUUUGAUGGUCUCGGUUCGGACGAGAUAGAUGGAAAAGCAUUAGGUCGAUGGUCGGGGUAAUUUCCUUCCCACUCCGAGGCAUAUUGAUAUGGAUCCCUGGGAACAGGUCUUAGAGAAGUAGAUGGCUCGGCUCCACUGGGAGAUGGGAAACUAUAUGCGGAGUUAGAGGCAGAUGGACUUGUACUUGGCUAAUCGUCAGAGGGAUGGUAAGUAGAUUGUUCGAUAGCUUACCCACGAAGAUGGAUUUUAUUCUGGUCGGCCACCAUAGUACUAAGACUGAAAGCCUGCUAGGCAGUCUACACAGAAGGGAAGUCACCAAACGUGGGAAAGAGUACCUUUUUCUUACUCGAAGGAACCGCUACCAUAGGAUUUAAGACAAGGAUGCCUUAUUGUUUGGACUUUCAUUAAGAAUAGACCUAGGAUUGAAAGAGUCGCAAUAGAUGGAUAGCAUCUUCAAGGGAUUGAUGGCUUCUUCAGGAAAGGCUUGGCCUCCAGAAGAUGAGGACUUAUUCGGAAGGAUAGAGUCAUUGUAUUCCCGAGUACUGAUUCUCUUUUAGGAUGGUAUUCUAUUGAAUGAAGGCUACCUUCUUACUUGGCAGGAUGGGGUAGACAGAUAUAGUACGAUUGAAUUGAUGGAUGGUGCACUAUCCUUCUCCCAAUCAUUUCUCAGCAAAACCAAUGAGUACAACUUAUUAAAGGGAAACUACGAAAAAGAUCUUAGAGCUAGUUGUCUCAAUCAUCCACAGCUCAGGGAUUAAUGUGCUCUUUUUUAUGCUGGAGUCAUAGCUUAUCUAAAUUCUUAUUCCCACCCCUAUAAGGUCUUUAAAUAAAAUGAAGAUAAGACGAUAACUUAUCGUCUGCAUCUAUAACCAAUUCUGGUUUAUAUACAUUGCUAAAGGGUUGAAUUCCAAACGAUUAGGUUAGGGCAGGGUGGAGUUCCUCUUUAGCACUGUUCUUUUAGGUGUAGUUCCAUCAAGGCGCCAAGAUCAAACUCCGGCCGGGAGGGGCCAAAGACUUGAUAGGUGUAGUGACUUAGAUUCCAUGGAGUACCGUCAGACUUCCAUGUAGUUCUGUCUAAUCAAGGUAUAGAAGAAAAAGAAAAGCCGACCUUUUCUUUUCCACGCUUUUUUACAUUUCAGUUCAGAUACGUUGCUCGACUUGCGCCUUUGCACGCUCGACCGCUCCCCCAUCCCGCCUGGCCCAUUCUAGCGGGGAAUAACCUCAAUCCGUAGAAGCUGCAUCUCUCGACUCGCGCCUUUGCACGCUCGACCGCUCCCCCAUCCCGCCUGGCCCAUUCUAGCGGGGAAUAACCUCAAUCCGUAGAAGCUACAUCCUCAAGGGCUGAGUGAUUAUGCCAGUGAUCAAGAUAUCAACCACAUAAAUAGGUAGUAAAAUGGUUAUGGACCCACGAUGAAGAAAGGUAAGUGAUGCGUCGGAAUUAGAAAAUCUUAGGCCAAACUAAAUGUUGAUCAGUGAAGACAAGAAAGCUUUUAAGUGUAGACGACUACUUGUACUUGAAAUUCCAUUCCUUUAUCCGGUGGGAGGGUUUAAAGCUAGUUAAGCCAAUAGCAUAUCUAGCAAAAGCUUCAGUAACACCAGCUACAUCAGUAGAUCAUUGAUUAGCAUACCUCCUCUGAAUAGUCUACGUGGACCCUAGUUUCUAUUACUAUUAAUUCGAAUUAAUCCAGUAAUGCAUACAUCCUUUACUCUCUGAAAGAGCAGGAGGUUUAGCGUCAACUCAUUUAAUGAAUGUUCUUUCAUUCACCACACGGAUGAAUCCUACUCUGUAUUUUCCAGUGGACAGUCAUUUGUCUAAAGAGAAUAGACGUAUAGCAGCUCUCUCUCAUAACAGAAUGAAAGCAAGCAAGAACGAAAUGAGCGCUUACCCUAUCGACCGAAGCUACUAUCCUAAAAUUAGAAACUCGUAAAUUAAAGAACUAUAGGAAAGGUAAUAUACUGAGCUAGCCUCCCGUUAUGCACCAAUGUUUGAAGAGGACCGUUAACCUUUACCAAAAGAAAGAAGAGCUAUUGGUCAAUUUCCUAUAGUUGACCAAUUGAGACAGGGCAGAUGCGACUGAUGGAAGGGAUCUAAUUUGAAGAAGGAAGUCAUUUGUGGACUGAUUCCGACCCUUUACCAGAAGACAAGAGAUUCCCGGUAUGGCUUCAGAAGAGGUAUUCAUUAUACAUAUAUCGUUUAACGAAUUGCCCGAUUGCCAAUUCACUGUGCCUACCUAUCUUCAAUCACCCAGGAAUGUUCACUUGGCCGCCUACCAAUGAUGCCUUUCACUUUCAGACAGUUCCUCGCGCAUGAAAGGACUUCACUUAUAAAGUCAAGAUAAGAAAGGAUGGUCUACGAUCAGGGAAUGCCUUUUUUGUUAAAGAGAAUUGGCUGCAGAGAGAGCGCCUAUCUCUCAUAAGAGAAGGAGAGCCACUUUUUUUAGAGUAUAUUAAUGAGUAGGACUUAAUUCCAACCGCUCCUAGCUCAGAAACCACACACAGACAAACACAUGGAGGCCCAUAAAACCCAACAAUAAUAGACUAACAAAUAUACGUGACAUACACUUCCUGUGUGAAGUUUUCAUCUUAAUGAAUCAAAGCUCUUUGUAAAAUGCUACUUUUCUUUCUGCAACAAGUAAGAGUACUUUUUCUUUUCAUACACCCUUAUGAAUGAAUGAAUCAAAAAAAUUAUACUCCUAAACUGGCCCCCAUCCUCUAUUUCUUCAAAGACACAGGUACACAUCAUAGGAAAAAACCCCAAAAACAGAAAGAGAAAGAAGUAAGUCAAAAAAUAGGAAAUACUGCUAGAUGGCUACCAGAUUAGCAGCAGAGUACGCUUUUAGUCCCUUUUGGCACAACAAAACAAGGUAGUAAUACGGGAGAAGGUGGUCCAGUAAUCUUCUCCAGCAGGGUGGCCAUAGUGAGAUAGAGUGGUGAAACUGGGUUCCGAAUAAAAAAAACAGAGCGAGUGAGGAAGGCAAAAGCUAUGACAUUGGAAUCCGCUUCAAGGUAAGCCCCACUCCACUGAAUUGGAGAAUUCCAGAACACGUAUCAAAGAGUGCUCCAAUGGAAGUGGGGCACAAUUGAGAUAAUUUCGACGAUUAGAAAAGAAAAAGAAGAAGGUUAGUGUUCAAUGAGCUCGAGAUAGCUGCCUGAUGAGAGGAAGGGACGCCGGGUACAGUCUUUCUUUGGUUCCAGCCCCCCGGUUACACCAAAGCACACCAGUCAAUACUGUACUAUAGCACUUACACCUGUGAGUUGGCAAAAUAAUAUUGUAUGAUAAUAAAAGACCUGAGUUGGCGAAAUAAUAAUAAUAAAAAAACCUAACGCUAACUAAGUGUUUAGUUACUAUGCCCAAAAGCCCCAUGCCUUUCCUAGUUGGAUAACCAAACCCAACCGGCGAUUUCCUACAAGUUUCUCUGUUUUUGGGGGAAACUAAGAAUAAGAAAGGACAAAGAAAAAUUUAUAUCAUGUUUACACCGAUCGGAUUUCUAAAAGUCCUUCGACCCUUACCUUUUAUUCAUUCUAUGAUUCUCCUUUCUAACCUUCUUUUGACUACUUGGCUCCUGUCUCAUUGGAUUGGCUUUGAUCCCUACCUUAUUAUGGAGAGGGUCAAAGGUUCUUUUUUACUCCAUGCCUUACGUGCUCUUUUUAGGCUCUUUGGUUUGGAAAUGCCUAUCCUUCUUCUUUCGCUCGUCUCUUUGGUAGGCGGUUGCAGCAACUUGCACAUGGAUGAUAAUUCCGCUGGAGGAAGGGCGGUGGAUUCAGGGUCGGGGUCGGAUAAUUGGCAAAAGUACCUCAACUUAUCCGAGGAAAAUGACUCUGCCGCAUCAGCCUCUCCCACGUCGUCCUCUUUUUUCAGAGGAAUUUCGGACAUGUUCCCUGCACCGGACCUUGGGGUGUAAGUGCAGCAAGUGAGCCCUACUCAUUCAAUUUCCCAAACGGAUCUAUGGAAUUCACCUUCCUCGUCGGCUCCAACCCCAGGUCAGGAUAAUCCACCGCCCCUGAUCCCAGAGCUCCACCCUCCGCUUCUCGAUGAUGACACCCGUCGAGUGGAGCUCGCGAGUAGGUUAAGAACCAUUUUAUGGGGGAAAGCUUAUAGGGAAGAAAUGAUAGAUUCUGUUGUUGAUACGCAAGUGCAGAUUGAAAAACAUCUUCAAGCUGCACUUGUGGGACGGGACUAUUCGGUUGAGUCUCUUCUUGCGAAGAGGAACCAGAUCAGGGGGCUCAUCUUCUCCCCAAUGGGAGAAGCGCUUAGUGAAAGGACUUACGCUUUGCACCUGAGGAGAUUCUCCAGUUGGGUACAGUGCAAAGCCUUCCAUUUCGGCGAGUUGAAAGGGCCAUAAAGGACUUAAAUCUCUUUCUUAAACUUGAAAGAGCGUAAAUUCUUCCUUUUUUAUCCUAAUUUCCAACUCUUUCUGUGAGGCAAAACCUCACCACACUACACUAUACUUCGACACAAGAGAAGAGGAUAGGGCGCUUUGUAUCUUCGAGAUAGGAGUUGGCGGUCUUCUUUAAGAGAACUUCAAUCUAAUACUCAUUAUGGAUCAACUCAUGUUUCCACUCUAUUUUCAUUACGAGGAUGCAUCACGUCAUGAUCCGUUGCUCAAACCGAAUCACGCCAACGUUAUGGAAGUUCCUGGAUCGUGUAAAAUAAUAGUAGUACCAAAGACAACACCUUCUAUCAAAAAUAGAAAAUUGGCUAUGGAGAUUCCGUACAGCCAGAAAUUAAAACAAAGGGCUUCAACAGGAAAGUCGUUUCGAUCCAAUCCAUUCUUGGGGUCAAAUAAAACAAAAAGGAUAUGUCAGUGACCUAGCACGACAAAGCACUCUCCGAGGGCAUGUAAUGUCACAUUUUUUUGUCAGAAUAUCCACAGUAAUGUCUCUGUUAGAUUCUCCGCUCGAAAUAAGGGAAAGAUCAAUUCAAUUCUCGAUGGAAACGGAAUUUGGCGAAUUCUCCCCCGAACUGGAAGAUCAUUUCGAGAUCUUCGAACAUAUUCGAGGGUUCAAAGUUACUAUUGUAACUUCGGCCAACACACAAGAUGAGACUUUACCACCGUGGAGCGGCUUUUUGCAAAAAGAUGAGGGGGAAACUCAGUAAGAUGUCGGAGAAGCGAAAUAUACGAGAUCACAAACGUAGAUUGCUUGCGGCUAGGUUAAAUAUGAAUUGAGAUGAAAGCUUUAUAAAGCCCUUUGUAAAGAUCCCGAUCUUCCUAGUGCUAUGCGGGACAAACAUCGUUCUAAGUUGUCCAAGUUGCCAAGAAAGAGUUCAUUUGCACGAGUAAGAAACCGAUGUAUUUACACGAGUCUCCCUAAUUCCGUAUAUGAGUUCUUCCAAAUUUAUCGUAUUCUUUUUUUGUGGAUUAGCAUCUCGAGGUCCUUUGAUGGGCAUAAAGAAAUUGUCUUGGUAGCAACCACCAAACCAAUACAACAAUGGUUCACUCUGCAACAGGUCUACAAGCAAGGUAAGUAGGUCCAUUACCAGCCGGCUCCGGACCGAAAAGACCUAACGGACUAAUCCCUUAUCUAGGAUCUUAGAUGCUAACGGGGAGGGAAUCGAAGUGGGGGACCCCACUACCGCCUGUGUCUAUCUCCUGUCAAGUAUGCUCCCCAGACAUAGACUACGUACAGGGUAGUACUCUUGGAAAGAUAAAAUAUCACCGCGUGAACAUAACAUGUAAUGUUGUUACGAAUGUAACUCCCGAAGGAUCGACCAGUAUUCUAAAUAUAGUAAGGCGGAGAACUGUUGUUCAGUGGAGCGCCGGAGUGCGGAGGUUGUUCCUAUCAUUGAAGUCAGGGUGUCGGACUGAGCCUUUCGAAUGAGAAAGAAGAAAAAUGCUUAGUUUCAUUGGAAAAACCAACGCAAAUAUCAUAUUGACUUUCUCUCGCCCUACUUCUAAAGAUAGAUAGAAAGGGUUGGAGAGAAUUUCAAAAAUUCAUUCUCUCCUUUCUAAAGCUGCGCAAGGCGGCCCCCCAGAACAAAGCCCACCCCUUUUUUCCCCCCUUAAUUAAGGACCCUCGCCUCGCUUCCUAUUCAUUUGUGGGUCUGGACCCGAUUUUUUUUUCAAUUUCGAGAAUCAACCAACGGAAAAAUCCGUAGCCCAGGUGACUCACAGCCUCCCUCUUGUCCAAAUAAAUGAAAUGGGAUGAAUCAAAUCAAUAAGCUUUUUGAUUGAUUCAGGGCGCAGCGAAGCCAAAUUCAAUCAAGGAAAGGGGGCUUACUUUUCCUGAAGCUGAUUCAUCCUAUUUAAAUUUAGCUAUGCUAAUGGAAGAGGAAAAGUUUUCAGAUGAGAUAAACCCCCAAGAGAUGAGCGAGAACCCCCAAUUGCUUAGGGGUUGCACUCUGUCCCACUUGGUGGACGAAAUCUUCUCUCCUUUUUGAAUUCUUUCUCCCACACACCCUUUUUGCCCUCUUUCGCCGAGAAGGAAAGAAUAAUCUUCCAAGCGGAUAGAGACCUAAAUUUCCAUUAGAUUCAUUCCUAAUCUUGCUUUGUUGCAGCAAGAUGAUCAGUCCGAGAGUUCUGGAGAGAACAGAAAGCGGUAAAAACCUCUCUUAUUCGGUCACUGAGAAGUUGGACGACUGUUCAGUAACCCAGGGUGAUCCGACCCCUUCGACGCUUUUUUGUCUGUAUACCCCCUCCAUCCUUCGGAGGUGGAAGAAAGGGUACUCACAUUUUAAUACAUAGUAGGGCCCCAGAACGCUAAAAGGUGGGGGAACAAAAGUUGUCACGAUAGAAAAGAGAAAAAAAGAAAUAACUAUAAGGAACCAACGGCUCCCUCUUCUUAAACAACAUAUAUCCUCCACAGUUAAUCAACAUUUGAUAGAUUAUCCAACCCCAAGCAAUCUUAGUUAUUGGUGGGGGUUCGGUUCGUUAGCGGGUAUUUGUUUAGUCAUUCAGAUAGUGACUGGCAUUUUUUUAGCUAUGCAUUACACACCUCAUGUGGAUCUAGCUUUCAACAGCGUAGAACACAUUAUGAGAGAUGUUGAAGGGGGCUGGUUGCUCUGUUAUAUGCAUGCUAGGGACGAAGUGGUAUGAAGUUGCUUGAACCUAGCGCUCGGGAGGUUGUGCUCGACAGAAAGGGUAAGGGCAAGAAUACUUGGCUGGACGUAGUUUAGGAUCGAUGUAAUUGAGACAACUAAGUAGAGGAUGGGAAGAUGUGAGGCCGGCCAAAGGUGGUUCUAUAUAGCUCUUACGCAUUUACAACUCGUACUAUUUUAUUUGAAAGUGAAAUAGUUUUUUUUUUGGCAUUAUCCGGGAUUAUCAGUCCCCGUUGGAAAGUCUUCCAACUUUCCAAUUAGGAUUUUUCGAGCACACAGAUUGAUUUUAUUUGAAUAAUAAGGGUAAUUUGGUUGUUUGGUUAAUUCUAAGGAUGUCGAAUGGAGCACUAACAAGGGUUGUGUUCGAAGGUCAAUUAUGUUAUAGCUGUUAAAGGCUACUUCACUAUUGGUCAAGAACUAAUAUCUUGUUAUAAUCUCUAGUUCUAUCUUGAUAUAGGUUAUCCUUCCCAGAAGCUUUGGCUAAUGGAAAAUAUAAUAUUUAAAGGAAUAGAACCCCUGGUUGGAACCUAGGCGCACCUCCCCCCGAGACCGAUUCGUUUGGUCCGACAGGGAGAGUGGAAAGCCUUAGUGGGAUCAUCGAAACACACAAAACAUAUUAUUAUGACUUUAUGAAAAUUAUUUUGUGCGAUCGAAAGAUCUCCUAAGUUUUCCUGGCGGGGCAUGUUUGAACAUGCCCGACGAUUAAAGGGACUUCUCUUUCGAGUUCCUCUAGUCGCCACUGCGUCCAUGUCCAAAGAGAUUGCCCUUGCGGGAUGUUCCUUUGUUAAGCAAGUCAGAUACUUAAAACAGAAAUCUGGAUUCUUGUACACUGCCUUAUAUUUAAAGCAAUGUGCAGUAUCCUUACAGCGGUACUAUGCUGGUAAUUACCAUAAAGGUGAUUUACUUUCUGUUCCAGUAUCCCUGACCAGGUGUGGUAUUCCCAAGAUCAUACCCGCUGUAUUACGAAAACACGUAAGAGCGAAGUCUGAUCGAGGUGAUAAAUUGGUUAAACUUUACCUAUCUUGGUUUGGUUUAGCUAAGUUGAUAUUGGUUGCCAAGAAAGUGACUAAGGCAACCUUUUCUUCUAUGGCUUCUCCUCACCCUGAUAUUGGGAGAGUUUUGGAAGUCCUAGAUGAGAUUAAAACCUCUUUUAGAGACCUCCAACCAAUCUAUCUACCACACCUCCAAAACAUUCCCUUGGAAUUAGGAAUGUCUUGGGAACCAACUUGGAAAAGUACCCCCUUAUUAGACAAUUUCGUCCGUAGUUUUGACUUAAAAGUGGACGAUACAGUCGAUAAGGAGGCUGCAAAGUAUGCUAAGGAUCAUAAUAUCUUUGUGAACCUGAAACAUGAAAUUGCAGCUUUUAUCUGGAAUAUUCAAAAAAUUAAUUCAAUUCCAGAUGGGUUCUUUUCACCUGGUAUUUUAUGGUCUAAAAUGGUAUAUUACCCUUUUGACCGUAAUAAUACCCGGUUUGCUAACGAAAUGUUCAAUUAUUUUGAAUCUGCUGUGGGUCCCUAUUUUAGUACGUUACUAGGGGCUUACACAGGGGUUCCGUUAGCAACUGGUCGGUUAGCUCAGGUGAUUGAGGGAGGUGGUAAGAGACGUAUCUUUGCAAUUUGCAACUAUAUUAAGCAAAGAUUACUGUUUCCUGUCCACAAGUGGGCAAUGAAGGUUCUAUCCAGUAUUCCAACUGAUGGAACUUUCGACCAAGAGCGUCCGUUGUUGAGAUUUAAAUCAAAGAGAAAACGUCAAACAUUUUCCUUUGACUUAAAAUCAGCAACAGACCGUUGGCCAUUGAGUGUUAUAUACUCCCUUAUGUCUUGUAUAUUCGGGAGUACUUUAGCAUCUUCAAUAGUCAACAGCUCGUUGGGCCUCAACACAUUUCUUGUCUUACCUCCCAUGAUUAAGGCAAGAAUGAGUGAGGUUGCCUUUCUGACUGGACAGCCCUUGGGUUACUACGGAUCUUGGUCAUUGUUUGCAUUGUCACACCAUUAUAUUGUAUGGUUGGCAGCAAAAAGAGCAUAUCCGAGGAAUAGGACUCCUUUUACUGACUACGCUUUACUAGGUGAUGAUAUCCUAAUCACCGACGUAAAAGUGGCAGAGCAGUACAGACAAUUACUGGAUCAGCUCGGUGUUACCAUUUCAGAAUAAAAAUCGAUUAUAUCUUAAAAUGGUACCAUCGAGUUUGCUAAAAGGUAUUGGACGAAAGAUAUGCAAAUUGAUCUUUCUCCAAUAUCUCUUAGAGCGUUGUUGUCUUGUAGGACAACCGUAGGUCUUUGUACCCUUGAGUAAUAAUACCUGGUUUGCUAACGAAAUAUUCAAUUAUUUUGAAUCUGCUGUGGGUCCCUAUUUUAGUACGUUACUAGGGGCAUACACAGGGGUUCCGUUAGCAACUGGUCGGUUAGCUCAGGUGAUUGAGGGAGGUGGUAUGAGACGUAUCUUUGCAAUUUGCAACUAUAUUAAGCAAAGUUUAUUGUUUCCUGUCCACAAGUGGCCAAUGAAGGUUCUAUCCAGUAUUCCAACUGAUGGAACUUUCGACCAAGAGCGUCCGUUGUUGAGAUUUAAAUCAAAGAGAAAACGUCAAACAUUUUCCUUUGACUUAAAAUCAGCAACAGACCGUUGGCCAUUGAGUGUUAUAUUCUCUCUUAUGUCUUGUAUAUUCGAGAGUACUUUAGCAUCUUCAAUAGUCAACAACUCAUUGGGCCUCUCAACACAUUUCUUGUCUUACCUCCCAUGAUUAAGGAAAGAAUGAGUGAGGUUGCCUUUCUGACUGGACAGCCCUUGGGUUACUACGGAUCUUGGUCAUUAUUUGCAUUGUCACACCAUUAUAUUGUAUGGUUGGCAGCAAAAAGUGCAUAUCCGAGGAAUAGGACUCCUUUUACUAACUACAUUUUACUAGGUGAUGAUAUCCUAAUCACCAACGUAAAAGUGGCAGAGCAGUACAGACAAUUACUGGAUCAGCUCGGUGUUACCAUUUCAGAAUCAAAAUUGAUUAUAUCUUAAAAUGGUACAAUCGAUUUUACUAAAAGGUAUUGGACGAAAGAUAUGCAAAUUGAUCUAUCUCCAAUAUCUCUUAGAGCGUUGUGGUCUUGUAGGACAACCAUAGGUCUUUACCCUUGCAACCAAAUAUGAUAUUAAUAUAUCAAUUUUACAAAGGUUGGGGGGUGUGGGCUUCCGUGUUUGUUCUCACAUUCAUUCUACCCAGUCAAAACGAUGGGAACGAUUGAAAGCGGCUUGCUUAAAGCCAGGUAAGUCACAUCUAUUACCUCUAGAAUAUUGGAUUGGAAGGCGGCGCCCUCGCCCCUCAAUCCUUAUUUGAAGGGAAAGAUAAUAGAUUUUCUCCGAAAGGAAUUAAAACCUAAGGAGUUACAACUCUUCCCUGAAGGGUUGGUGUUUGAUGGUGAGCGGAAGAUACUUGAACGCACUGUUGUACGUCAAUGGAUGGAACAGUGGCUGCGAUGGUUUUCCUGGUACCAUAUUACUGUGCUGUCAGAAGAGGUUACUAUCAAUCAAUUGAUGGAAGUUCCUAUGUGUAGUAAAUCCUGGAGAAGAACAAAUGAAGAUCAGAAUUUGAUCAAAUUUGGACUAAUAUAGAAAUGCUACGACAUGGGUGAAGGAUGGGAUAUCUCAACUACACCAAUGUGGUUGUUAUGUCCUUAUCCAAACUCUUCCGGAGAUAAUGAGGCUGAUGUCAUGAUGGCACUAGUCAAUUAACCAUUACUGGUGAAAGGACGCAGGUCAUCAAAAUUUAGGUGCAUCUGAGCACAUAGUCCCUCGUGGUAAAAUUCUGUAAAUGGGAGGGUGGUCAGGAGGGUAGCUUGUAGUUAGAGGAUUGGUUGUCCUCUACUACAAACACCCAAGUGAAAUCAUUCUUUACUCGCUACAAGUAUUUCGCCCUAGCUCUCUAAUUCUAUUAGCUAUCGUUACAUUUUUUUACUCGUGGAAAGUGGAAAGGCAGAAGCGUCGGCUAGUCAGUCACGGACUACUUGACUUCCUUAUGAUGAUUCAAUGUUAAUGACCUCAUUCAAUAUUUUUUUGAGCCUUCGCUAUCGUGGGCUAGAUGGAUAGCUAGUAGUUCUGAUCAGCAAUCGCCUGACUAUAGAUAGGAAAAGAUGUAGAGGUGCGUGCCACACUUACGAGGGACUGAGAAGUUUACGAAGUAGCGAGUUAAAUGAGAGGCUAGAGUCAAAGGCGAGCCAAUGAGCUUCUCAGUUAAUGAAGAGCUUCCCUUGAUAUGAGCAGAACUAUCUAUUUGAAUUAUUAAAAAUGUGGCCCUCCAUUCCUACUUUGAGGAGUAGAUUGAAGGGCUUAUCGCUUUUCCUACUGCUGCUCUCGGCCCCGUAUCGCAGCCGAUCGAUCUGCUGCCUUAACUUUAGAAAGAUCAUUUUUGUUCAACAUUUUUUUUCUAGAAGUAGGGAAGUAAGAGAAGAGUGAAUGAAGACCCUCACGGAGCGGUAAGGAGAUCGAUGAGUUUUUAAUCUUCCUCUUUAUGUAUGAAAAUACAGACAUAUAGUGAAUGGACGAGCCCCUUCAACUUCGAAACAGCUUCCUUUGUACUUCCCUUCGUAGGAGGGGUAGGAAAAAGAAAGAGAUUAGAUAACUAUAGAGCAGAUUCAGAUCCAACCAGCAAGGCAUACGGUCUUGGACACUUAACCAAGCUCUUGAUGAGCGGUAUCCACCUUCUACUUAUUCUGCUCUCCUUAGCCUCCGGCUUGGGCGUGGUGAAGCAAGGGGUCAGUGAGAUCGACCCCGAUCAGUGCAGUUAGAUAGUUAGAGUUGGUAGUUUCUUCAACAAUUCUAAAAAGAAGAGUUUCUCUUAGAGUUAGGGAGCGAGUGGAAUAAACGAGUUCAAUACGUUGGAUAAGAAGAGUAGUGGACGAAGCGAUCACUAGAGCGAAGGGGUGUAAUAGGCAGAAAGGACUACUAGAGCUAUAUACUUUGAGAACUUGGAUAAGAAGAGUAGUGGACGAAGCGAUCACUAGAGCGAAGGGGUGUAAUAGGCAGAAAGGACUACUAGAGCUAUAUACUUUGAGAACGAUUGGAAUACCUGAAACAAGAGAGGGUAGGUAUAGCACUUUCGCCCUUUAAGCUUUGCUUUCUCGAUCCACUACUAUCUUACUAAAAAAUAAAAAUAAAAACAUCUGAGUUAAGAGAAAGAAAAUAGGCACACCUUUACACAUCCUUAAUUAAUAAUAAUAUAGAGGGGGCCCUUGGGCCAUUUGACUGUAAGGAGAGGAAAAUUAUGGAUUAGUUGAAAGCCAGGAAAAAAUUGACUUUUUGAAGUCAAUAAAAGAUCAUAUAAUAAAGUAGCGGGUUAGAUAGCAAGAGCAACUAGAUCAGUAAUGGAAAGGGUGGCUAAAAUGGAUAUAUCUCUUUUACCCCUGGUCUGAUUCCACCUAGUGGCGAAUUAAACCAACAGAGAAAGCAACCCUAGUUUUUGAAGACUACCUACUCCGCUUUUUUAUCAGAUUUCAUCGUACUGCUAGUCGUUGUUAUUCCCGCUAACGAGUUUAUCUGCAGUUCGCAAUCAUGCUUUAUUCCCCUUUCAAGUUGGAAAAAAGAAGUAAGACUCGUGUGAAGCUUUAGUUUCGUUACCGGCCAGAGCUCCUAGCCCUUUUUGAUUCUGUUUUAUCUCAGUUAAACUCCACACCUCUAUCAAUUCAUUCUUUGCCACAUAUCUCUUUCUUUUUCUUUGUUGCCUUUUGAAAGGAAAGCCCGUCCAUCAAGUCUGUAGAGUUCCGUCCCGCUAGAAGUGAUCCUAUCUUGUUUGGGCAUUUUCUUUGGUAAUCCCCUUCUUCUUUACGGUCCAUCUUUUCCUUUGCUUAGGUCCACUGUUCCUAUUCUGCUUGUUCCGAAGGUACGAACUGAGGCUAUCUCAUAUAGCUGCCAUUGAUGGAUCAAAUCAUUCUAAAAAAGCGAUAUGCUUAACACAAGCUUUUCUUUUUGCCUCCUCCUGGAAAAGAGCUGAUUCAAUAGACAAGUCGAGCAGAAGGGAAGAGCUUCCCAAAUCCUACUGUCAAGAAAAAGGCUAAGAGCACUUAUUUAACUUCUAGCUCGUUAGGGAUGGGAUUCCUAAAACUAAGACCGGUAAUGCCGUAUACUAUGACCGGAAAAAAGAAUUCACCUCUAGAAAACUCAUUUUUAAGGUCUCUUUAUGACCUUAAGGACUCUUUUAAAGUGGGUUAAAACCUCAUUUCUUAUAAUAGAAAUAGGAUUGUAAAUCUAAAAGGAUUAGCGCAUAGAUACUACAAUUGAUGAAAAAAAGGAUCUGGUCUUUCACUACCAAUUCCUUUCAUUUUCGAUUUGGGAUGAUGAGCCCAACCCUGCUAGACGUAGCUCUCUUAACCGGUCUUGAACUUGAAUUGGAUAGACCGAAGUCUUUCUUACCCAUCCGAUAAGCCUUUUACAGACUCGGCUCUUUCAAAUCCUCUCAACAAUAAUUGACCGUUCACUCAUGCUUUCAUGGGAACAAGGAACUGGAAGUCUGCUGUUACUGAUCUGAACUUUUCUUUCCUGGGUGUGGACGAGACAAAGAAAAGUCUUUUUAGUCUUCCGCUUUUUCGAUGAUAUCUAUAAGAAGGAAUACUUGUCGUAAGGUAAACAGGAAUUCCCGGCUCAAGCGAAAUGAUACCGGCUGAAGGUAAGUAAAUUCUUUAGUUUAGGGAAGGAAUCCACUCUAAAAGCUAGUCUUCUUUUAUGCAAAGAAUCCGAUGCAGUUAGCGAGAGUCGUGGUAGUUCAGUUCGAAAGGAAAGGCAGUUCAGUCAUCCGCUAGUAGAAAUCCUAAAAAAGGAAAGUAUGCUAUCUCUCCUAGCCUUCUUUCUUGAUGUGAUUCCCUUUCCUACACCAAGCCAAGUUAGCUCAUCAUAGGGCUUUUUAUUUUUAAGAAAGGCUUAAGUUCUUCCUUUAUUGCCCGCGCGACACUCGGGGUUAACACUCCCAAAUAUGGAAAUCCUAACCACAGUUUUAAUGAUAACGGGGGGCGAAAGCAUACAAAGAUAGUGAGGCUUCCAUCGCUUAGAUUUAGGGCGAUAGGGCGCACCACAGAUACGAUAAGAAGCACCCAUCAAUCGAUAGGUCAAAGACAGAAACAUAGUACCAGUGACAUCUCUAAUCUUUGAGAAAAUCGGGGUCUUUUCCACAUAAAUAGCGUCAACCAAAGACCGAAGCAUCUUAGCAGACACUGGAGAGAAAUCCUUAGUAACUUCGUCGCUCCUAAAUUAUUUGGCAAAACUCCAAAACAUGACUUAUAAUAAAUAAUGUUUCAAAUGGGUAGACUUUUCUUUAGAUAUAGUUAUAGUACACUGAAACUAUAUAUUAUGCUAAGUGGUAGUCAGCUUCUCGUCGGCGAUCACCGUCGCCAAGAAUGGCAUAGUCGCAAAGCUUUGUCGUGCCAUACAGCCUUUCAGUAGCUAUCCACACAAGCAUAUGAUGUUUAAGUGUGAAUAGAGGCCAAGAACAAAAAAAUCCGAGGGGUUGACCCUUCGUAAAUGUCACAACCGAUGGCCUAUAGCCUUUAUUAUAUUAUAAAAACUAUAUGGUAAUUGAAAGACUACAGAACAAAGUAUGAACGUCCAGGAAGUUGCAAAGGGAUAUCCGAACAACCCUGCAUACAGGACGUCAGGAUAACAGAUAAGGAAUCUGUAGCAGCCUUAAGAUAGUUAAAAGGAGAAUCAUUUUUUCUUUCUUCUCAAGUACUGCAACGGUUGGGUCUGAUUAUAGGUACCAUUCAUUCUUAACCUUGACAAAACCUUCAUCCAUCAUGUAUAGGCCGUACCAAGGCCUGAUAUAAGGGUAAGACAAUACCGAAUAACCUUUUCUUCCCUGCCUCCUCGACCUUCAUUUCCAUCAUGCAGCCAAAGUGAUAGCAGCUAUAGCAUCCACCGGUAAUGUGUGGAAGAGGGUAAGAUUUCUAUGUGGAUAGGACGUAUCAACACCUUUUGCAUCUUUUCAUUUGAAAGGAAAUAUAUAAUAAUAAUAUAGUGUUGGGUCCUGAGGACCAGGAUGGCCGAAGAUCAAAACCAAAAUGUGCUAGAGGUUGAUCAUCGAAGCCUGGGCAAUAACGAUUAAGGAAUUUGAGCGCUGAUGUAGCUAAGACCUACCUUCAUAGUCAAUUCAUUAGGGUUGUCACCUUCUAAUAGAGGUUGAUCAUCGAAGCCUGGGCAAUAACGAUUAAGGAAUUUGAGCGCUGAUGUAGCUAAGACCUACUUCAUAGUCAAUUCAUUAGGGUUGUCACCUUCUAACAGGUCCCAUUUCUACAGCUUAUAGAAAGAAGUUCCCUAUCUUUCCGAGUUCAACUUCGCAAAGGAAGAGGGCGCACUAGUUCUUGUUUACUAUGGAUAGGUUUCCUUUGUUUUUCUAUAAUAAAAUAAGUUGUCAUCAGGGACCUUGUUUUCCUUUUAUCAUUAUUGCUUUCUUCCUCGGUAGCUCCUUAAAGAUGUAUUGUGAGGAAUGGCAAAAAUUUCUAUCUAUUCAUAAUGCUUCUCAUUUUGCUUCUGCUUCACCUGGGUUGUCUCCUAAAUGCGGACUGGAACUUAUCUACUUCAAUAGUUCGCUAACCACUCGGAGCAGUUUUGCAAUGAAGGAUAUAAGCUAGUUGGUUGUUUGUCUCAUAUGGCUCUUCGAUUAGGAAGGGUAAGGACUGCCCAAUGGGCUGAAUGGAGGAAGGAAUGCAUUUUUGAGUUUGGUCGGUGGAGAUGGAUCCAGUGACUUCUGAAAGACUAAAAAAAUAAAUUAAAAACAUCGAUACCGACGGCAGCAAACCCUGGAUGCCUUUUUGGAAGCACCUGCCUCCCCAAUGAGUGUAACUUGAACUAUGUGAAACGAAAUGAGUUGAUAAACGAAUCCCUAUUCCCUAUAGCGCUUGUGGCUGCAGCCAUGCAACGGAUCCGUGACCGCAUUAGCGCUCUGGAAGACAGGAAACGGGCCCUCCUCCAAGACAUGAUCUCACCCACAACCGGAGAGAAAAAGUCUGUCGACCCAAAGUAGUGUGUUUGCAUGUAUCACUAGUAGUCUUUCGUUGUUCACUUUGUAAUGUUGUUUGGCUAGUUUGUCUAUGUGUGUGUGCUUGAGUUCGUUGGAUGCCAUAGUUUCUCUUGGCAAAGUCAGGAUCAUCUUGCAAUCCACCUUAUCCGGUAAGUUACCUAACAGAACUUGAAACUUUGGCUCAUUUUCUUUAUUCUUUAACCUGGGUCUGACUGCUUGACUCACCAACCUUCAAGUCUUCCUCCAUCAGGUCAUCUUCCGGAACCAAGCCUUCUGAAUGAAAGCUCAUCAGAAAACUCCGUUGAUGAGGCUUGUCCCUUCUCCAGCUUCUUGUGGUCUUUCCCAGCCUUACCUUCUGCUGGGUACUUUACCAUCAGACCAACAUUCUGUUUCUUCUCUGCUUCAGUCUGUAUUUUUAAUUCCAUUACCUUCUUCCUCAGCAUCCUCCUUUUCUGGGUCCUUGUCAGCUUAGAUGAUUUCUGUUAUGCUAGACUCUCUCCUACAGCCUCCUUCUCAGGUCUCGGUUUCUGUGCGGCAUGAACCCACUGAUCAGUUUGUGGGACAGUAGACGGUGUUUGAAAUAACCAUUGUUUAUUCAAUCGAAAUCUCAUAAGAGAAGAAAGCUUUUAACGUGGGUCGGCGUAUAGCGCACUCCAUUCUAUCUAUGACGCAUCGGAUCAACUCAGAGAAAUCCUGAGUAACGAUAGAGAUUCUCCACACGAACGAACGACCCGCCAAGUUCGAACUGACAUAGGUGAAUCGGACCAACACCUAUCAACCACCAACAAGGAGUCGCUUUGGUUACGCAGUUUGGUUAGCAAGCAGGCCGCCUUCCUACAUCUGCGGGCUGGUAGGCCAUACCCUAGGGGGGUCGAGGGCUUCUAUUUGUACUUUUUUUGUGGGAGAAUCUCGAUUGAAAGAAUCUCCUUCGGCUCCGCUACAGUCGCCAAAAAAAGACUCUAUUUCUCCUGCUACCAAGAAUCAGGAAAUGCGGAACUUUCUCUUCUUUAAAACGUCCUUAAAUUAAAGGCUUAUAGAAAGCGCUUUAACGAAUGACGUAAGAUGAUGCCCGAAAUAAGUGAACUAACCUGGCAUUCAAUCUCUUUUGUCAGAGUUUUCGGGGUAUUGCUUACAAAGACGCUUACACAAACUAGCCGAAAGCCCUAUCUAAGAAAGUGGCUACUAGCUCAAGUGCUGGUGAAAACCUCGCUUUUUAACGAUAAGAGGGUUUUCCAACUAAGCCGAAGAUAUAAGCCGACGGUCCAGGUACAAGAGAAGACUUUAUAAGCCGCUUACUCGGAACUUGUGCUUUCCUAUCCAUACCGCUUUCCUUUAUAGCAGCAAAGGAGAAUGCGAUAUUGAUUCAGUCGGAGGUGUACUACUUUUCUGAUCAAAUCAACCCACUACUCAACCGCCCACGUGUGUGUCUGAGUCAGUGCUGACAGUCGCCUUCAUUGAGUUAGGUUAGUGUGCUUUGCAUGCUUUUCUCGAAGCUCAUAUUGAAGCUCGUCGGUCAAGAAGUUGCAUUCCGCUAAUCUCACUUUGUUCGAGUGGCUUGGUCCUCUGACAAGGACAUCUCUUUCUCUGCUUUAGUCCUAUAGUCCAUUAGGUCAUGACAUUUGUUUGAUUAGACGAUUAUCAGGUGAUCCAGAAGACCUAAUCAAUGAGAUUUGGGGCUGUAAUGUUCUUUAUUACUUCUUGAUUUCAUGUUCUAACUCCCAGUAAUAGAAUGGGAGACCUACAUUUGACACUUGCUAUCUUGCUUGAUGACUUUCUUUCAUAUUGGUUUCAGGUUCAUACUUUGCUCCCUAAUCCGGAAAGAUCGUAUGUCAAUGUUCCCAGGGUAGGAACUUCCACUUUUCUUAGUAAGAGUAUGGGCUUGGGCUUCGGUUCGGGACUCUGAAUCGAUCAAUCAAAUGGGAAAACAUCUUUCCUCUUUCGCUUUCUCUCCACUCCUGCUCCUGUGGCUUCCCUUCCGGGUUCAUUUCAUGCCCCCUCCGGUUACUCUAUCCCUGGCAUACCUUUCUUCCCCUUCAUCUUCGGGAAAGCGGGUGAACUCAGGGCCUAUUCCCUAUUUGAUUUUCUAGGGUAGUGGUCCCUUUUUGUCUGGCCAUGAAUAGUGAGUGGGACCUCAUGUUCGCCAAGUAGUCAUAUUUGCAUGGAAUUACAUCAGUACAUUAGUUAGACGAGCUGGUAGCUAGCUACCCCGAUUCACACCAAGUUAUCUUUGUCGGGCAUGGAGAAAACUCCAAGGAUUACCCUGGGGUUAGACCACUCGACGAAACCCCUUUUGACGGCUGCUCUGUGCUUGCCGGUUUCUUUCGUUCUUCCGGCCAAGACCAAUUCCACCUAAGUUCAUGAUCGAGUCUGAUGAGCUAGACUGAUGACGCUCUUUCAAGGACAAAAUUCCCUGGAUAUGAGUAUGACUCUUUAGGGUAAUACAGCAGAUUAUCCAUGUGCAAAUCGAGAUGCAGUCCGGUUCGAGCAUAUCCAGUUUCAUAUCCAUAUCUCGCAGAUCCUGAUUCUUCUAUUACAUAAUACCUAUCAGCAAGCCUUGGUGUUUGUGGAAGCAGUUAACUAGACUGCAACCACAAUCGCCCUCUUGGUCACCCUUCCUUGCGGAAUUUUACCAAAAGGGUUUAUGUGCUCAGAUGCACCUAAAUUCUUAUCAUUUUUAUCCAUUUUCCGUAAGGAUGGUAAAUCCUUAGGACUGAUAAGGAGAUCCUUGCCGUGAAGACCACCAAAUACCUAUUGAUCAACCAAUAUAAAACUGAGAGUUGGAGGACCAAACAACCACCUAGGUGUAGUUGAAAGGUUCCAACCUGCUCCCAUAUCGUAACACUUCCAAACGUACCCAAACUUGAUUAAUUCAUAAUCUUCGUUUGAUCGUUUCCAAGAAGUGGCACACAUAGGAACAUCAAAUAGUUGAUCAAUGGUCACAUCUGGUGAUAAUGCUACAGUAUGAUACCAAGAAAGCCAAGUCAACCACUGUUUCAUCCAAUUAAGGAUAACAGCCCGCUCAAGGAUUUCCCGUUCUCCAUCAAAUACCAAAUCUUUUGGAAAGAUUUGUAUCUGCUUAGGCUUUACAGCCUCACGCAGAUAAUCUAUUAUUUUCGCCUUCAAAUAAGGAUUGAGGGGCGAGGGCGCCGCCUUCCAAUCCAAAAUUCAAGAGGUAAUAGAUGUAACCUGUUUGGUUUACAAGCAGGCGCCUUUAGUCUUUCCCAUCGUGGUGACUGAGUAGACAUCAGGCGAGAACGGACCUUAUAACCUGCACCCGCUAGCCUUUGUAAAGUCGAUAUUUCUAUCGAGUAUCGGCAGGACAAUUGGCACAGGCCUACAGUCGUUCUACAGGAGGUUAAAGCUUUGAGAGAGAUGGGAGAGAUAUCUUUUUGCAUAUCUCGUAUCCAAAACCUCUUAGCAAACUCAAUUGUUCCAUUUUCAGAUACUAUUGAUUUAGCAAAUGAAAUGGUAACACUGAGUCUAUCCAAUAACCUACUGUACUGAUUGGCCACCUUCUUGUCGGUGAUUAGGAUAUCAUCACCAAGAAGGGCAUAAUCAACAAACGGGGUGCUUCGUAGCGGAUAAGCCUUCAAAGUCGCCAACCACACUAUAUAGUGAUGGGACAGCGAGAACAGUGACCAUGAACCGUAGUAACCUAACGGUUGUCCAGUAAGAAAGAGUAAGAAAGGCUACUUCACUAAACUUUUUCACCAUAGGAGGUGAUACGAGAAAGGUGUUAAGACCCAAAGAACUGUUGACUAUUGAAGAUGCUAAAGUACUACCCCAAAUCAUUUCGAUUAAGGUGUAUAUAACACUCAAUGGCCAACGAUCUGUUGCUGAUUUUAAAUAAAAAGAGUAACAAGACUUCGUUCUUUUAAGUCUUAGAUACUGCAACGGACGUUCUUGGUUGAAUGUACCAUCAGUCUUAAGACUUGAUAGUACAGUCAUAGCCCAAAUAUGGACGGGAUGCAGAAGUCUUUGUUUUAUAUAAUUACAUCUAGCAAAGAUCCUCCGUUUUCCACCACCUUCAAUGGCCUGAGCCAAUCCACCAGUCACUAAUGGAACUCCUUGGUAGGCCCCUAAUAAGCUAGAGAAAGGGGGUCCUACUUGUUUUUUAAAUAAAUCAAGGGAUUCAUUAGCAAACCUGGUAUUAUUAGAAUCAAAUGGGUAUAAAACCCUUUGAGACCCAAGAAUACUAGGGGAAAAGAACCCAUCUUGAAUGGAAUGAAUUUUAUUCACAUUAAAGAUGAACGCUGUUAUCUCAUGCUUUAAGUUCACAAAGAUAUUGUGGUAGCGUUCGGGUGGAUUCCGUUGACCGAGGCUCCCCCUGCCGAUAGAGCUAAUUGGGUGCGGGAGUUCUAUUCUAUCCUGCCCACCGUCCGCUAGGACAAUCCUACUCCCGUCUUCCGCAUUCGGGGGUUUGACAUCUCCUUGAAUGCCAGUACUAUUAAUGAGGCCCUAGAGGUACCGGAGGUCCCGAACCAUGAAUUCAAGACCAGGCUAUGAGAGAUGGACCUGGAGUGGCUGAAGGACACACUGGUUGCACCCACGCGCCGGGAUCAGGUUUACUGGGCUACUGCAGAGGGUAUCACUAGCACAGAUUGGUCGCCUUAUGCUAAGAGGUCGCUGCAUUUGGUUACUAGGAGGAACUACCCAUCGGGAAACCGCACUGAUGUGACCUUUCCCCGGGCAUUGGUGGUGGCAUGCACCAUACAAGGCUUACAACUGAACGUGGGGGCACAGAUCAUUUUGGAGUGGAAGAUAUUCUAUAGAGGUAACAAGAAAGCGUUCUUCCUCCCUGGUCUCAUCACGGCUCUGUGCAAGCAGGUGGGAGUGCCACUAUUUGAUACUGACGAGGUACUUCCCAUGGUCCCCCCUUCACCCUCUUUUGGUUUGGACAAAUUCUACUUCUAGGAGCAAGAAGAGGAGGACGGGCAGGACUAGUAGCAGUAAGGCAGCCACAAAUUCAGAUGAUUAUGACCCACAUUCAGGUGCACGGGUCGAAGAGGAUCUGGAGGCUGUCCGGAAGAGGAUGGGGAGUGUCUAUGCCGACUUCCCUCCAGUUCCACCCAACACUGCUCUGGAGGUCGAGAUGCUCCGUCGCCAGUUGUGCUAGGAGAGGAGGAAGGGUGUGGAUAGACAUCGUCUGAUGAUCUGGAUGUGGAAGACUAUCAAGGCCAUGUUUACCUAUGUUGCCCUUGGCAAGGAGAUUCCUCAACUAGAUCCCAAGGACUUUACCCAAUUCUAGAUGCUGAAUGAGGCCUGGGCCGGCGUGAUACCCCCAGAGGACCUCGAUUCUGACAUUGACACCACCCAUUCUGAGAGUUUCUAAUUUUCUUCCCUUUCGCACCUCUUGGGCUUGUAAUUUGGACAAAUCAGUUUUUCUUUUUCGACUUCCUAAGUUUCUGUAGCACAUGGAUGCUUGUUUUUGUUGUCUGAUACAACAUUUUAUUUAAUCUUAAGGCGUUUAUAAUCUAUUACUUCUGUUGCUGAACACUGUUGGGAUUGUAGAGGUUGGUCGGACCCCAAUUGGGUCGACAAUUUCGGAUUUUGGGAAAAUAAGAAAGGCUGGUUAAGGUUCUGCCUCACCCUGUUCUGCUCUGGCUUAAAUAAUCCCGCUCUGGCGGUGUCACUAUGGCGAGAUUAUCUCGCCCCAGCAGUUCAGACGGGACCAGAACCCAAGCUAAUAAUUUAUGGGUUCUUUUCGUUUUUCUAAGAUUUCCCCAAGGUUUCCAACUUAACCAAACAAUCUAAGAUAAAUAUCCAGGAAAGCCAUUAACUAAUCUGAAUCAAUCUAAGCGACACGGCAUCUCACUAGUUCUCAUUAAUUCAACGCUACAUCCACACAUCACCAGGAUACACCCCAAUUUUUAUGACUCUCAUAAUUUUAAAUCAAAUUGACCAACACAAUGCACAGAAUAAGGUUCUGACACACAUUUAUAGUACACGAAAUCGCGUCAUCACAUUCAACAAGUGCAACUUUACAUUCACGGUUAAUUCAAUCAACAAGAAGCACACAAACACAGUAUGCAGGACGCAACACACGGACAAUUCCAAUUUAUUAGUUAGUUAAUUCCAUAGAUGACCAUCACUGGUCAUCCAUGCCUUUUUUCAACCCUUAAGGCUAGAUACCAAUUGGAGCCUUCCUAGUUCCAAUUAACUUAUUGAUGUUCCUUCAGUCAUAUCCAUGACGUCUAGUUCACUUCGUUGAGAUACCAAUUGGACUCAACUCAUACCACAAGUGACACUUCGCACGAAAUGAGAGAAUGAGUGGAAUAAUUUCCUAGAAUGCUUCCUAGAUUCUUGAAGAUUAGAUGUGGACGUCAACACACCAAUCUGCAGGAGUCUAGUCCACAUUUUGCUCUAGUACGGGGAGACUGGUAACCUAGGCUCUGAUACCAAUUGUCAUGACCAAACCCACCAGGCCGUGCGAGCACGUACAUACUACCACUUAAGUAGGAGAACCCACUUACACCGAUAAUUAAAUAUGCAGAAUUCUUAAUAAAAUGGAAGAAAAUAAAAUAAUAUGAUUUUAUAAAUAAGAUCCUGAGACACACUUUUAGCUAACUUGUAAAGUAAUUUAACGACUCCCAUGGAUCUAGUCUAAAUAGGUACAAGAGCUACUAAGGGUAAAACUGGACAAUAAAAUAAAGGACACAUCUCCCACCAUGCGGAAGGAAAAAUAGAAGUUGUUGGAGAUAUAUUCUUCGUCUUCACCUAAUGUAACGUAACCAAUCCUGAAUCCAGACAAUGUCUAAAAACACAUAGCAAGAGUAGUAUCAGUACAAACACACGUACUGGUAGGUAUCAUCGGUCAACCCACGCCCACCACAUACCAUAAGAAACCAACUAGUAUGAUCAUGAAAUAACCACUCGCUUCUCCACCUUUACUCUUUCUUGGAAACAACUCCAAUAUACACUAGCACCGUGAUUACUAACCCUCUUAUAACUCAACCCACUUAACGAAUUCUUGAUCAUGGCUUAACAAUUCUAAAACACCUAGAAAAAUAAUACCCAAAUAUAAUCACCGCCAAUGCAGCUACCCAUUCACGUCAUACCCUUGCUUCCUCGUCAAAUUACCCACCAUAGUCACAUAAUACAAUAAUUCAAGCUUCCUUAACACUAACCCAAUCUCUUUCCCCCAACGUGAAAUCCAUCCAAGCAUUUUCCUUCACAUACACUAUCUCUACUCACGCCAUUACAACCCACGAAUAACCCACUAUAAAUCGUCAUAACACGGGUCCACUAAGUACAACAUAUAUAAACCAAUACAAUACUAUACUCACAAACAUAUAUAGAUCAUAUACAAUAUUGUCAACAAGUACAUGAAAAACGAACAACUCACAUCUAUAUCACAUCAUUGGUCCUCUCAUGGAACCCAAGCAGUUAGCAUGCCGGAACGUGGCAACCGAUCCCAUAUUUAUGCCGAAACAUGACAAUCGAUCCUAUAUUUAUGCCAAAACGUGGCAACCAAUCCCAUAUUUAUGCCGGAACGUGACAACCGAUUCCAUAUUUAUGCCGGAACGUAACAAUCUAAUCCAAGUUAGUUAUGCCGGAAAGUGGCAAUCCAAUCCCAUUAACACACUACAAUCACAAACAAAAGUACAUCAUCAAGAUCAUAUAUUUAAGUCAUGAUUUCAUGGCAAUGAUAUUUCAUCUAUCUCAUUUACAACAAGUAUGAUCAACAUUGCGACAUUCAUACAUGUACAAGUAUCAUAAUGAAGCAAGAACAAGCAUACAUCACACAAUCAUAGAAUCACAAUCAUAUUAAUUAGGGUAAAAAAAAAGGUAAAUAAUAAAUUUGUAAGGUAAAUGACAUAAUUGUCCUUCAAAUAUAAGUUCAUGUCUACGUGUUAUAUAUUCAUGUUAACGUGAUACAAAGUUUUUGAUUAAUAAGGGUUUGUGGUGCAGUGGUAAGUACACCUUCAUCCUUAAUUGUAACGAUAUGUUCCCGUCGUUAUAGAAAAGCCAACGGGGGAAUAUUUGGGGCCGGAAAACUUUUUCGUAGUAUCUUGAAAUUUUCCAACCUAGUCCAGAUUUGGACGAAAUCGGAGUCUUUGAGGUGUAGGGAAAUCUGGUAGCAAUCGGGUGAAGUAUUUGUGUUUUUGAUUUCAUGAGGGGAUAGAUAACUCGUUAAGGAAUCUGUACGACUUUACAAAAUUAAAUUCGGGUGAGAAGAACUCCUAAAAUCGAUCUUAGCGCUAAGGGUAUUUUCUGAGCGUCAUGGGUUAGAGGUAUGUUGUGAAAUGGGGAUUUUGGAAUUCUUUAAUUAGCUCACUGUCUCACGUAACCUACUUUGGCAGUGGGUUUUGCUACUCUGGCGGGGCAUCUAUAGCGCGGUGACGGCCGCUGUAGCGGGCUCAACAUGACUUAAGGUCGUUAAUAAACCCCUAAACGACCUUAUUUGGCACUUUUCAAUUUUUAGAGCUAAGGAACGAACCCCAGGCAACUCCUACUCGUUCUUCACCAUUCUUGAGGCUAAAGGUAAGAUUUUCACUCCCCAAAUCCGUUUUUCGAUCCAUAGAACGUAAUAGAAUGGGUGAAUAUUGAUGCGGGAGGGUUUUGUUAUAGAUUCUAUGGUGGAAACAACCCUAAUUUAGAUAAUUGGGAUCAUGGGUUUGAUCUACGGUUCAUAGAAUUAUCAGUAAUUUGGGUAAUUAGUGGUUGUUUAUUGAUUCCCAUAUUCUAUUGAUUGUUUGUAGACCAAGAACAAGAGGAACAAAUCCGAAAGGGAAGGAUCAAGUUUCUUAGGGUUUCAAGCUUUUUCUAGGUAGGUGAUGGUUGUGAUUUUAUGAUUGUGUGAUGUAUGUUUGUUCUUGCUUUAUUAUGAUACUUGUAUAUGUAUGAAUGUUGCAAUGUUGACAACACUUGUCGUAAAUGAAAUAGAUGAAUGAUGAUUGCCAUGAAAUCAUGACUUAAAUGUAUGAUCUUGAUGAUAUACUUGUGAUUGUGGUGUGUUGAAUGGAUCGGUUGCCACGUUCCGAUAUAACUAACUUCAAUUGGUUGCCACAUUUCGGCUUAACUAUGGGAUCGAUUGCCACGUUCCGACAUAAUUAUGGGAUCGAACACCACAUUCCGGUAUGCUAACUAUUUGGGUUUGGGUUCCAUGAGAGGACCAAUGAUAUGAUAUAAAAUGUGAAAUUGUUUGUUGUUCGUUGUUCGUAAAUGUUGAUAAUAUUGUAUAUGUUGAUAUAUAUGCAUGUGAUUAUAAUGUUGUCUUGACUUGCUUAUGUUGCACUUAGUGGGAUAGCCGCCUGAUCCUACCAGUACACUGUGGUUGUAUAUUGACAAUAUAGCGUGAGUUUACGAUAUUUUUAAUACAUUUCACUUAAGAGUUGUGUGUGUCAAGGGCCUUUUUGUAUUGAUUUUUAUGUGUUUUUAUCAUGUUUUGUAGGAAAAUGUUUAGGCGCGGAAGUAAAGAGACAGCUGAAAGAAAUACAGAAAAGGGCAUCUAUGGAGGUGAUCUACGGACCAUAGGUCCAUUGACGCUCCGUAGAUGGUUAGCGUAGAUCAACAGGGCAAGGCAUGGAAGGAGAAUUAGGGAAUCUGACCAAGUGUGGAACCACGGUGAUCAUUGACAAUCCGUAGAUUGAUCUACAACCGUACUGUUGAACCAUAAAAUGUGACUACGAGGGUUCCAGGAGCUACAGAUAGGGAUCGGUGGACCGUAGAUCGAUCUACGGUCCGUAUUGGUGUUCCGUCGUUUGCUUCAAAGAAGCUGAUUUUUGGAAGCUGAAAUAUUUUCUAAGUCCUGACCUACGGAAGGGACUCACGGACCGUAGAUCCAUUGACGGUCCGUGAGUCAGUCUCGUGGAAUGAAGACGCGUGCCUGAACAAACUUUCCUUAUUUUGUUUCCCUUUAAAUUUAGGACUUGUUUUCUAUAAAUAGGGUAUGUAAACCUCGUUUUUAGGGGUUAGACUUUAUUAUUUUAGUGCUAGUUUUUGGUUUGGGAGAUGAACUUGCAACUUUAGGAAUUAUUUAUUUCCUAAGCACGUUUUGGAGAUUUUUACUUUGAAAUUCAAGUUGAAAUUCUGGGAUUAUUCUACUCUACCAUGUAAGUUCAUGAUUUAUUCUUCAAACAUUAUGGAUUGUUUUCUUGCUAAUAUGGGUAACUAAAUCCACAACUAGGGUUGUGGAAACCAUGAGCGAUUAACGAAGUAUUAAUAGUAACUAAGUAAUUCCCGAAUAGUGUUUUGCAUGCAUUGAUAAUUCUUUCAUCCAGAAGUCUUUUUAACUGUGCGCAACGUUAGAACUCUCCUUUUUGCUACUUGCCGGACCAAGGAGGUAGUUAAUAAGAAAAGAAUUAUCAACAUAGAUUUAGUGUGAUACUAUCUAAUAGAAUUAAUGUCGAUUAGUGCGAGGGUGAAAACAAAGCCAUACAUCGAUGUGACGUCUAAUAUAAGGUAAUGGUAAAGGUUAGUAAAUUAUACACACGUAGCCGGACCAAGGUGCGGGGUGAAAUUCUCUAGAUGCCAGACCAAGGAUUUAGAGAUACAUAACUUAUCUCUUUGCAUGUAAUACACUAGGAAGGGAUUGCUAUUACUAGGAUUACGGAGUUAUGAGCUUAUGGGGAACACAUAUGCCCUAGUUUCUUUCUCAAUUUGGUAACAACAAAAGUUUAAAUCUUGCUUACUAAUUACUUUUAUAAUUUCCAAAAUUUGUUACACAUAUCCCCCCCCCCCUCCCCUUUUACUUAUUUGUCUUGGAAAUACAUUGGCUAAACGAAUAUAAUUGUUAUUGAACUUAAGUCUAAACCAUAUUCCUCGUGGGAUCGACCCCAACCUACAAGUUGGGUUCUUUAAGUGAUAAUGAUCGCUUAUGCUUCUGAAAAGAGAUGUAAUUUGAGUGUAUCAACUGAUACUGCACUUGCUCUUAUUUUUGUUGAGUACAAGGCAUCUUCAAGCGGCUACAGACAGACCUCGCUUGGGAGAUCAGUGAUCGUUUGAACUCAAGGGUGAGCCAAUUAUUCCGGGAUGUCAUGGGUUCUCUUUCGUCUAUGUCCACCAUUUCUGGACUUAGACUAUGUUCUAUUAGUUAAUUGAUUAGUUCAUUAGAUUGGGGUUGCAUCCUUUCUUACUUGCUUCUGUAACUUAAAUGUCUUAGUUUUUGUUUAGUUUCUUGGUUUGGGUUGUAUUAAUGGUUCUACCACUGGAGAGUUAGUGUGGGUAACAAUCACGACGGUCUGGGUCAUGAAAAAGUUGGUAUCAGAGCCUAGGUUCGUUGAUCUCAAUGUACCAACACGAGUCUAGUAGCGUCUCGCGGAACGGUACAGAGACGCCUUUACUUUUCUUCGAGAGGCUAUAGGACUUUACGAAAUCUCUAUGUUUUCUCUUGUCUCCUUUUGUGGUAUGACUUGAUUCCAAUUGGUAUCUGGCGAUUCAAAUUGGUAUCUAACUUUCGUCACUCUUAUGUUCACAAAUGGUUAAUACUAGAUUCAACGGCGUUAGGCCUGUAGCUCCCAUCAAUGCUCUGGCUGACGAAUCUGUAGCGAGAGAUCGCGAUCGAGGCAGGGGUAGAGGAAGAACUAGGGGUAAAAGCCGUGGAAGAGUAGUGCCUGCUGGAAUUGGAGCUCCUGUUGAGAAUGGUCCUAUGAAUGAGAAUCCUCCUACGCAUCAUGAAGAGAUUGAAGAGGAGAAUGUUGAUGUUGAGGAUGUGGGAUAAGAGGAAGAGGUGAAGGUUGAGACUAUUGAUGUCCCCCCCAAAGACCCAUUGUUAACUCAACAGAUCAUGUCUUUCUUGAAAGGGUUGGUUGGUCCUUGAGUGCUUCCUUCUACUCAAGCUCCUAAUAAUCCUCAUGUGGGUGGGACUAGAGGUAAUGAUGAUUUCUUCCAUCCUUUGUUGGGUUCUAUUAUGACUGGUAAUGAGCAUGAAAUAUUGACUAAGUUUUUGAAGUUAAAGCCUCAUAUGUUUCUAGGUUCUGAAAAUGAGGAUGCUUAUGAGUUUAUCUUGGAUUGUUAUGAGAGGCUUCAUAAGUUGGGAAUUGUCCAUCAGGAUGGGGUUGAGUUUGUGUCCUUUCAACUUCAAGGUGAGGCUAAGCAGUGGUGGAGAUUUUAUAUGGAAUGUAGAUCUUCAACUUUACCUCCACUUACUUGGAGCCAAUUUCAUGCUCUAUUUCUAGGGAUGUAUGUGCCUAGGACUUUGAGGGAUCUCAAGAAGGAUGAGUUUUUGGCUUUGGAGCAAGGUGGUAUGACUGUGGCUUCUUAUGAGGCCAAGUUCCAUGUUUUGUCUAGAUAUGCUACUCAAUUGGUGACUACUGAGGAAGAGAGAAUCCGGUUAUUUAUAAGGGGAUUAAAUUUUGAGUUGCAAGUAUUAUUUGUUCAUAUGACUUCCGCAGGGAGGAGAUUCAAUGAGGUAACAGACUAUGUUAAGAAAGUGGAGGGGGUGAGGCGUGACGGUCAAGCUAAGGAAUGGGCAAAAAGGGCCAAGAACUCGGGUAGCGUUCAAGGUUAUUAUUCUAAGGGGUCUGGAAGGCUAACGCUUGCAGCCAAGCCAAUUCAGUCCUCUAUGUUCACCUCUACAGGUAGUUAGUCAUAAUAUUAAGGAUAGCCAGGGAGUCGCGUCUUCGACGGGUGACAAGCCAUAUUUUGAUCGUACUUGUUACAACUGUGGAGAACCUGGGCAUAUGAGGAGAGAUUGUCCCCACCCACGUGUGUUAGAUUCCGGGCAGCAGCAGACUAGAGCAGUGGUACCUGUAGGGAAUGGUAGUAAUGGUAGAGGACGUCCACAAUGUGGGCGAGAAGGCAAUCUGCGAGGCUGUGGAGGUAGAGAAAAUGGUAAUGUAGGUAGAUGUAAUGUGUAACCAGGCAGGAAAGUGGUUCGUCAAGAUGAUAGGGCUUAAUGUUAUGCUUUGCCAUGCAAGAAUGAGGGGGAGGCGUCUGACGCGAUGAUCACAGGUACUAUUCUUGUCUGUGACCAGAUGGCUAAUGUGUUGUUUGAUCCGAGUUCUACUUAUUCAUAUGUAUCCGUGAGAUUUGCCUCAGAUUUUGAUAUGAUUUGUGAUAUUCUUGAUGCCCCUAUUCAUGCUUCUACCCCAGUUGGAGAGUCUGUCAUAGUUACCCAUAUUUAUCGUGCUUGCCCUAUUUUGUUUAUGGGAUUUCACACUUGGAUUGAUUUAGUGAUUUUGGAUAUGAUUGACUUUGACAUAAUCUUAGGCAUGACUUGGUUGUCCCCCUAUUAUGUUGUGCUUAAUUGUAAUACUAAGUUUGUAACUCUAGAAAUUCCGGGAAGGGAAAAAUUAGAGUGGGAAGGGGUGUGCAAGCCUAAGAAAGCUAAGAUUAUAUCCUCCAUUCGGGCUAGUAAAUUAGUAGGACAGGAUUGUUUGGCUUAUUUGGCUCAGAUUAGGGACAUUGAGGUUGAGACUCCAUCUAUUGAGUCUAUUCAUAUGGUGUCGGAAUUUAUAGAAGUGUUUCGUAAUGAUUUGCCUGGUAUGCCUCCAGAUAGAGAUAUAGAUUUUUGCAUUGAUUUAGAGCCUGGUACACGUCCCAUUUAUAUCCCUCUAUAUCGCAUGGCUCCGGCAGAAUUAAGAGAGCUUAAGGCUCAAAUCCAAGAGCUUCUUGAUAAGGGAUUUAUUCCUCCUAGUGCUUCCCCAUGGGGUGCUCCAGUUUUGUUUGUUAAGAAAAAUAUGGUAGUAUGAGAAUGUGUAUAGAUUAUCGACAAUUAAAUAGGGUCACUAUUCGAAAUAAGUACCCCUUGCCUCGAAUAGAUGAUAUUUUUGACCAAUUGCAAGGUGCUUCAGUUUUCUCUAAAAUUGAUCUAAGAUCCGGUUACCAUAAAUUGAAAAUUAGGCAUGAGGAUGUGCCCAAGACGGCGUUUAGGACUCGCUAUGGGCACUAUGAGUUUUUGUUAUGUCGUUUGGUUUGACCAAUGCGCCUGCAUCUUUCAUGAGUUUUAUGAAUGGGGUGUGUAAGCCACUCCUUGAUUCGUUUGUUAUAGUGUUUAUUGAUGAUAUUUUGGUCUAUUCGAAAAGUGAGAAAGAGCAUGCCGACCAUCUUCGUAGUGUUUUGGGUGUUCUUGGGAAGCAAAAGAUAUAUGUUAAAUUUUCUAAGUGUGAAUUUUGGUUGAAAGCGGUUGCAUAUUUGGGGCAUGUAGUUUCAAAAGAAGGGGUAAUGGUAGAUCCUCAAAAGAUUGAGGCGGUUAAAAAUUAUGUUCGGCCAAGCUCUGUGACAGAAGUUAGGAGUUUUGUCGGGCUCGUUAGCUAUUAUUGUCGAUUUGUGAAGAACUUUAUUUCUAUUGUCACUCACUUGACUAAUUUGACAAAAAAAAAA